UUUUUAAUUAUUAUUUAAAUUUAUUUUCUUGUUAUUUUAUUCCUUUUCAUUUAUUAUUAUUAUUAUCAUUUUUCAUUUCUUAUCCUCCAUUCAUUUUCUUUCUUCCCCAUUCAUGCCCACUUCUCUCAUCCUCUUUUUCUUUCAUCUUUCUCUUUCAUUUUCUCUUUGUUACUUCCUCUCCUCCCUUCCCUCACCGACGCCAUACCCACGACUCCCAUCUUCACCAUUGUCGCUCUCCUCACCAUUAGCCACUAAUCUGACCAUGUGCCACCCUAGCCCCUGUCUAUCUUUCUCAUUCUUUUUUUCUCUCUUUAAACCUACCCUCACUCAACUCACCUAUCUCUAUCUCUAACCCUAAUCUUCUUAUUUUUUCUAUUUCCUUCUUGAUCAUUCCCUAUGCUUCGACAAUGAAUUGGAGAAUCAAAUUAUCAUCCUCCAAGUGAGACGAGGCUUCCUGUUGACACUUGGUUCGACUCUCACAAGACCAUCGCCACCAUUUGCACCGCAUCCAUUACUUAGUUUUUCCUCUAGGGUCAUUAAAACUUGGUAAGUUUUCCUAUUCUAAUCUCUACAGUAACUGUUUGUAGACUUGGGUCCCUUUUUGGGCUUAGCUUUUGGUUUUGCAUAUAAGAUUUGGGCCCCUGUUUAGUUUAGGCCUCCAUUUGGGUUAGGUUGUUAAUUUGGGUCAAAUUAUUGGAUUAUUGAGUUUUGUUUUUGGGCCAUGAUUUGAGCCCUAAUUUGUUUAUACAUCUCAUUACCAUCUCUGGUACAUGGGCUUUCACCUCUCUCUCCUUUCCUCUCUCUUUGGUCUUGUAUGGCUUGAAUGAUUGAGAGGUGACAAUUGGAAGUGACAAGAUAGACAGAGGCGACAUAUUGAUAGCAAGAUGACUUUAUGGGAAAAAAAAAACAGCUCUACAAGUUUUCAUGAAGAUUUUUGUUUGGGGCUUUUGACUAUUUAUUUAGGAUGAGAAACAAAAUGUAAAGAGGGAAUGGGGAAAAAUGGGAGAUGGUUCUCUCUUGGGGGGUCUGGUUUUCAGUGUGUUUUUAUUUUUUUAUUUUUUUAAUAAGUGAGAAAGAGUACUUAGAAUACUAAGGAUUUCACCCUGAAUCUGCUUGAGAUUAUCUUGCCGUGUCUAGGUACAUCUCGAUCCCUUCCAUGUGUUUAUUUUAAUUUCUUUGUUUCAGUUUUGUAAACUCAGUUUGUAUAUAUUGAUUUUUGAUUGGUUGGUCUUGUUUGAUUCAUUUCCAAUCAUAUAUACUAAGUUGUAGAGUUAUUCGUUUGUCUAUUUAAUGUUUACUGUUUAUUAUUAGUAUUUUUUUUUAUUUUACUCAUGUGACUAUCUUUUGUUCAUUAUUUAUUAUUAUUAUUAUCAUUAUUAUAAUUAUUAUUAUUAUUAUUAUUAUUGGAUAAAGUGAAAUUUGAAAUAAAUUUCUUUUUUAGGUAAAGAUAAAACUUGAAACCUUUUUUUUAUUAAAUAGAAAAUGAUUUCCUAUUUGACACAUGGUAAAGUUCCCUUUUCAAUUUUUAUUUUAUUUUUAUUAAAAUCUGAAUUUCUUUUUUUCUUCCAAAAAUUAAAUCCAAACAACUUUUAGAAAAAUAAUAAAUUUAAAAUCAUUCCUUUUUAAUAAAACCGCAACAUUGAUUUUUUUUAGAAAAAAGAAUUGUGAAAAGCAUUUUUUUAAAAAAAUCAAAAUCGAGAAUCUUUCAUAAAAAAGAAGAAGAAAAAAGUAAAUAAAUAAGUGAAUUGUGAAAAGCUUUUUUUUUAAAAAAAAAAACCAAAUCGGAAAUCUUUCAAAAAAAAAAACAAAAAAAAAAAAGAAAAAAAGAAAAAAAUGUAAAUAAAUAAGUAAAAUUUCCUCUUUAAAUGAUCAUAUAAAAUCUUAUAGAUAAAAUAGAGAAUUUUUUUUAAUAAUCCGAAAAUUGUGUUGUUAAUAAAUUGAAGACUCUUUUGUUAAUUGACCUUAUCUUUUUCCUUUUUCCUUUUCUUAAUUUGUUUUUUUUUUAUCACAAAAUCAAAACGACUUGCAAAAAUCCUUUUAAAUAAAAUUAAUAAAUACAAAUAAAAUAAAAUUCUUUUUAAUAAAACCAUGAGACGAUAAAAAUCCUUUUUUUAUUUCUCUCUUUUUUUAUUAAUAAAAAAUUAUAACUUUUUGAUUAAAAUGAAAAAAAAAUUAUAACUUUUUGAUUAAAAUGGAAAAAAAAAAAACCUGUUUUGUAAAUUGGUUAAACUAUUUGAAUAAAUUUUACUUAAUCCCAAAAAUAAUAAAAUCACUUUAUCAAAAAGAUUGAAUUGAAGGAUAUUUUGUAAAUAAUUUCAUAAUUUUUUUCCUAAUAAAACCUUUUCUUUUAUAAUAAAAUCAAAUGGAAAUCACUCUUUUAUAAAUAAAUUGAUAAAACUUUUUCUUUUUUUUUUAAUAAAUAUCUCUUUCUUACAAACAAAAAUUCAAAAUAAAUUUAUUUUUUUUGUUAUUUCUUUUUUGUAAAUAGAUAUUUGAAGAAUAAAAAUUCUUUUAAUUAGGCAUACUGAUUUCUUAGAUAAGCUUGUAGAAAUCCUUUUGAAACAUAAAUUCUUUUAUUAAAAUUGUAAAUAAAAGUAAUUUUUAAUUCUGUUUUUAGAUGAUGUUAUGAAAAUGUCUUCUUUUAAUUAAAAUAAAAUUAUGUUAAAAUUAAAUUCCUAAUUUUUUUUGACAGAUAAAUAAAUAAAAUCCAUUUUUAAAAAAAAGUAAAAAUCCAAUUGGAAUCCUUUUUUAUUUUAUUUUGUUUUUAAAUAAUAAAGUUGAAAUCUUUUAAUAAAAUCCAAAUAGUUUGCAAAGUUCACUUAAUAAAAUCGAGAAACUUCUUUUUUAAGCCAAAUAUAGAGAAUUUCUUUUUAAUAUAUACAUAUUUUUUAAAACUAAAUUAAAGAUAAAAUAAAUCAUUUUGUUAAAAUAAAAAAAAUUAGAAUUCUCUUUUGUAAAAAUCUUUUUUACCAAUAAAUUUGAAUCAAAUUUUAAUAUUUUUAAAUAAUUGUGAGUCUUUUCCUAAAAAUAACAAAAAUCACUUUUAGUGUAAAUAAAAUUGAGUUGAAAUAUACUUUGUAGAUAAAUUUAUAUAUAAAAAAAUGAUGAUGAAAAAAAAAAAAUCUUCUUCUUUAAAUGAUUUUUAAAAAUCACUUUUCUUAGACAAAAAUUAAAUUAAAAUACUUUUGUAAAUGAAAUUGUAACAAUUUUCUUCUUAAUAGACAUAAUUUUUUUCUUUCCUAUAAAUAAAAUUGAAUCCACUUUCUUUCUUUAUUUUUAAAUAAAGUCUUUUGGCAACAAUAAAUGUAAAUAACUUCCUUGAAAAUUGUAUACAAAUAAAAUUGAAUAAAAUCAUUCAUUGAAAAUAAAUCAAAUUUUUUUUUUAAAUAAAUAAAUUGAAAUGGUUAAUUAAAAAUUAUUUUUAAUUAACUCUUGGGGAAUUUCAUAAAAAAGUGAUUUUUGAAACAUUUCUUUUAAUUAGUUAACUCAAUGUGCAUAAUUCUCUUGUUAUUUACUUUGUACAUUAUGAUAAUAUGCUUUUAUGAUUAUUUUCCUAUACAUUGAUUUGUUUCCAUAAUCUUGGUAUCCAGAUUAAUUAAUUGAUUGUCAUGAUUCCCUCAAUUUGUUUAGUAGAGACAGUAAGUAUAUGGGCUUAAAGGGGUGUUACGACGUUUCACCGUACCUUCCUGAUAGAUAACCUAACCCCGAAUCUAGAUUCAAUUUUUGCAAACACGUCUUUUCUAAAUAAGGGGUCACAUGAGGUUUUCUUUCUUAUUUUAUUUUUUAUUUUAAAAAUAAACUAAAAUAAGUGAUGACUCCAACUUUUAAAAAAAAAAAAAAAAAAUCAAAUUUUCACAAUAAAAAACGUGUCUCACCAUUUCAAGUAGGGACGCAUGUGAAAAAUGUUGGUCCAUAAAUUGGCAAUUCCGCUAGGGACUGAUGUUUAGAGAGUCAAACUUGAACUUGAGUUGAGGAAAAUGUGGUGUUUGAUUAAUCAAUCAGUGCAUACCCUCUCAUGGCACCUUUGUGAUAUAUUUACAUGUUUUAGGGCACCUGAGUGUUGACAUUGUGAUUAUUUUCUAUAUACUUUGGAUGUGCUUUAUUAUAUAUUAUUUCUAGUUAUCAUGUUCUUGUAUAUAUUUGCUCGUUUUUGUAUACAUCUGUUUUGUAUGAUUGUGUGCUGCAUGACUACCUUCCUUUUACAUGAUGCGUGAUUUGCUUAUCUAUGUGGAACACACAUGCAUCCCCUUACUCUGAUUCACAUAGCUUGGUCAGCCCUUCCCUUGUACUCAUACUUUUUGGAUGUAUUUGAGGCAUUUUCUUGUAUUCUUUCACUUCAAUUGUAUUUCCUCAUUCGAUUGGAUUGUAUUACUUGAUCGGGAAUAACCAUUUCUUUGUACUUUGUUUGCUCUUUGACUCAGCUAGUGAUUAGGAGUAGGAUCUAAUUUUGAGCUAUAUAGGAUUUGAAAGUUGCUUAGCUUCCAUUAGACUAGUGCCAUGUCAACGACACCAGUAUGGCUUAUUUAGUGCCAAAGCCACCUCAUUAGCACUACCAUUACCAUGCAACCUCAUUACCAUUGUCAUGCCAUGUCAUUAGCACUGUCAUGCCACCAUUUGAUCUUCAUUGAAAUUAUAUCAUCAAUGUUGAUGCCACAUCACCCAUUGUUGUAGCCAUGCCACAUCACUCAUUGUUGCGGUUUUGCCAUGUCGACUAUUUUUAUGAUUAUGCCACAUCAGUAUCACAUCACUGCCACACAAAGUUUGAUCCUUGAAGACCUGUAUAGCCCAACACUAGAUUAAGAUGCAUGUGUGACCAAUGUGUUUACUUUUUCGUUAUGGUUUGGUAGGAUGGUUGGAUGCACCCAAACACACUAUGCACCCCUAGAACGUCAUGGUGAAUGUGAGUUAUAAGGAGCAAUAAACCAACUAGAAACCUUCACCAUUAGGAAAUCCCCUAGGAUGUAAAGGAAGUGCAUGUGUGGAGGUGAUGACCAACUUGCAUGGAAGUGCCUUGUCUCUUCGGAGACGUGUCGGAGGUUGCAUACCCCCUGACAUUUACGAUCGCUCCUACUAGGGUACCUUUGAUCCUACCAUUUUAGAGUCACUUUUACCCUGUAGGAUGUGAUUACUACUCAAAAAGUGUUAUUUUAUAGCUUGUAAUUACUUUUUGAGUAGUAGUUAUUACCUUUUAACUCAAUUGGCAUGUUAAGGACCCUUGUAAUCAUUUCUAAUCAAAUUGUGUUAAUUUUUGGUGAUUUUGAUAGCUUUAUGAUCACCAAAGCAAUUUAAGAUUGAGGGAAAGCAAUUUAAGAUUGAGGGAGAGCUCUGUAUAAUCCAUGGCAAAGCAAAUGGAAGCUCAUUUACAAGAAGAAUCCAAGCUUUGGAGCUUCUUAGUCCUUUGCCAAAAGCAAAUCAAGAAUGCAAGGAGGAAAAACAAAGAGAGGAAUCUAACAUGAAGAAAUUCAAGAGGAUGGAAACUGUAGGACACAUUUCGAGCACUUCUUGGAGUCCAUUUUAUUCAUACUAUAUGUCAUUUUGAAGCUCGUGAAGUCAAGAGUCCAACACUUCAAACGGUGUAUAAAUCGAAGUUGAAAUGAAGAAGUUAUGGCCAUUGGAAGACAAUCACACCAAGCUGAAAGGCAAUUUCGCAAGCUGCGAAAUCACAAAGUGCUAGCUACGAAAUCAACAUUUUCUUGCGAAAUGGAGACUUUCAGCUUGCAAAAUUUUCGCAGCUCAUUUUGCAAGCUGCGAAAUCCACCUGUGUGCUUCCAGAUAUUUGCGACCGACUCUUUUAGAUUUUUCUUCAGAUAUUUGUUGUUUAAAUCCCCAUUUUCUCCUUGUAAUCCACUAAUCCUAGGAUUCCUUAGUUAGGAAGUAAGAAGAAAGGGUGAAUAACCUCCUAUAUAUAUUUUGUAAUUUUCUUUCUACAAAUAUCUCGGGAGCUUGUUCUCAGAGACCAACUUUUGUAUAGUUUUGAAGAAAGUAAUACACAGAGCUUUGCUUUGCCUUACAUACUCAUUUUGAUUAUAUUUUUUUCACUAGCCAAACAAGCUCUGAGGAUGUUUCCUCAGAGAAUGAGUGGCUAGGCUUUUUGUCUCUUGGAGUUAAGGAACCUGGGUAAGGUACCGAAUGCAAAAAUUGGAAGUUUUGUUGUUUUAGCUUUUAAUGAAGAGAAAGUGUGACCCGUUAAUGGUUUCUAUGUUUUUAGUUAACUUAAAACGCCUUAAAAUCACCUGGGCCAACACUUGGUAAGACUAGUGAUCUCCAUCCAUUGAGAUACACUAGUUUAUCUCUUGCGAGCCUUUGGGAGGCGGUUCAAAGGUAGGAUUUUCUAGAAUAGCCAACACUUGGUAAGCUUUUGGACUCGAAGGAGACAUCCAUUAGUUGUCUCUUGCGAGCUUUUGAAGGGUAAUCGAAGGUUAAGGAUCACCUUGAGUGGCAAAUGCUAGGUGAGAGGUAUGAGCCAUUGCAAGAUGAAUCGCAAGAUGAAUCAAUGAGAGGGAUUUAGUGUUUGAAUCCAUAAAAGGGAAGCAUUUGUACCACACCGGUUCGGGAAAUAACUAUAUGUUAAAUCCCCAAUGUGAGGAAAAGAUUCAAGUGACCGAAACUCUAUUUUUGUAAUAGGAGCCUGACCCUAGUGAUCCAAAAACUCCAAGAAACACCUUUCUUUAUAAGUAAUUUCAGUUACUAUUUUUGGUUAGUUUAAAACCAACCAUUUUUCAACCAAAGUUUAUGUUUUCUUUUACAGCUAACCUUGAAAUGAAAAAGACACCAAUUCAACUUUGAAUUAAUAUCAGUUGUAAUUUGAAAACCCUUUCCAAUGAACGAUCUUAGAGCCACUAUGCUAUGCUUGUUGAGGCUAUCCUAGUACAUAGUGAAAUAAGUUAUAAAUUUUGUUGAUUACUCCCGUCUGAGGACCAAAAUCAAGGUACACUAGUUGAUUGAUCACCAAUCAACAAGACAUACACCAGUUGGGCACGAAAAUCAAAUGGCGCCGUUGCCGGGGAAGGUGCCAACUUUACAGUGAUAUCAUCUUUUCAGAGUACUUGUGAUUUUCAUCACAAGUUUGGUGAUUUUUCUUUCAUCAUACUAACUCGUUUUAAUUGUUUCUUCUACUUGUUCAUAUUUUAGCAUACCUUCUAAUUUAGUUUUAGUUAAUCUUAGUUUUUUUUUUUUUUUUGUAGUUUUGUUUUCUUCUGUUUCUUUGUUUUUAUUACAGUUGAUACUAGUUGUGUAUGCCAAAUUGGAUACGAGACAGUGGAAGAAGGCUUGUGAAACUUGAAACACCUCAUAAAAAGGAGUUGAAAUUGAGCUUGAACAUCAUGGAAGCUACACCUGAAGAUCAGCAUAGUCACCAUGGUCACCAGGACAAUCCCAAUGCAUUUAGAUCAAUGAGGGACCACAUGCAUCCACCUCGUAUGAGUGCACCAUCAUGUAUAGUGCCCCCUACAGAGCAGCUAGUAAUUAGACCGCAUAUUGUUUCGCUUCUACCUACUUUCCAUGGGAUGGAAAGUGAGAAUCCCUAUGCACAUAUCAAGGAAUUUGAAGAUGUUUGUAAUACAUUCUAAGAGGGAAGAGCUUUGAUCGACUUGAUGAGGCUAAAACUAUUUCCUUUUACUUUGAUGGAUAAGGCCAAGAUUUGACUUAAUUCUUUAAGGCCAAGGAGUAUCCAAACUUGGACUGAUUUGCAAGCUAAAUUCCUCAAGAAAUUUUUCCCUACUCAUAGGACAAAUGACUUGAAAAGACAAAUUUUAAACUUCUCAGUUAAAGAGAAUGAGAAAUUCUAUGAGUGUUAGGAGAGAUAAAUGGAAGCCAUCAAUGCUUAUCCUCACCAUGGUUUUGAUACAUGGCUAUUGGUGAGUUACUUUUAUGACGGAAUGUCUUCCUCAAUGAAGCUACUCCUCGAGACUAUGUGUGGAGGAGAUUUCAUGAAUAAGAAUAUGGAGGAAGCCAUGGACUUCUUGAGUUAUGUGGCUGAAGUUCAAGGGGAUGGGAUGAACCGAACAAAGGCGAAGUAGGGAAGACGAAGUCUUAACCAAAUGCCUUUAAUGCUAAGGCUGGGAUGUACACCUUGAAUGAAGAUAUUGAUAUGAAAGCAAAGGUUGCAGAUAUGACGAGAAGAUUGGAGGAGUUAGAACUGAAAAAGAUACAUGAAGUGCAAGUUGUUGCUGAGACACUAGUGCAAGUCAAGCCAUGUCCUAUUUGUCAAUUGUAUGAGUACUUGGUGGAGGAGUGCCCUACAAUUCCAGCUGCUAGGGAAAUGUUUGGAGAUCAAGAAAAUGUCAUUGGACAAUUCAAGCCCAACAACAAUGCUUCAUACGGAAAUACUUACAACUCAAAUUGGAGGAACCAUCCAAAUUUCUCCUAGAAGCCAAGAGCACCUCAGUAUACACAGCCAACUCAAGCAUCUCAAUAAGCUUCAAAUCUUGAGCAAGCAAUAGUGAAUCUAAGGAAGGUCGUGAGAGAUUUUGUGGGAGAUCAGAAAUCCAUCAAUGCUCAACUCAGUCAAAGAAUUGACAGUGUAGAGAAUACAUUGAAUAAAAGGAUGGAUGGAAUGCAAAAUGAUUUAUCUCAGAAGAUAGAUAGUCUCCAAUACUCAAUCUCAAGGCUCACUAACCUUAAUAUAGUGCAAGAGAAGGGGAGAUUUCCUUCUCAACCUCACCAAAACCCCAAGGGUAUCCAUGAAGUGGAAACUCAUGAGGGAAAGUCUUCACAGGUGAGAGAUGUUAAAACCUUGAUCACUCUAAGGAGUGGUAAAAAGGUUGAGCUGCCAACACCCAAGCCAUAUGUUGAGAAAGAGGAAGAAGAAGAAGAGACAGAGAAGAGGGAGGAAAUCAAGGGAAAUAAGAAAGAUAGUAGUGAAAGGAAAGAGGACCAUGAUUCAAUAGUGAAUGCAACUCUGGAGAAAGUACUUAUCAAGGGAGAUGUGAUGAAGAAACACACACCUUCACCUUUUCCUCAAGUUUUGCAUGGGAAAAAGGGAAUAAAAAAUGCAUCAGAAAUUUUGAAGUAUUGAGACAGGUGAAGGUCAACAUCCCAUUGCUAGAUAUGAUUAAACAAGUUCCAACUUAUGUAAAAUUCCUGAAGGACUUGUGUACUAUCAAAAGAGGGUUGAAUGUGAAUAAGAAGGCCUUUUUGAUUGAGCAAGUAAGUGCUAUCAUACAAUGCAAGUCUCCAUUGAAGUACAAAGAUCCGGGUUGCCCUACCAUUUUAGUCAUGAUUGGAGGAACUGUAGUGGAGAAAGCUUUGUUAGACUUGGGAGCAAGUGUGAAUUUGCUACCAUACUCUAUCUACAAACAAUUGGGACUUGGUGAAUUGAAGCCAACAUUAAUCACUCUAUCUCUAGCAGAUAGAUCAGUGAAAAUUCCAAGAGGGAUAAUUGAAGAUGUCUUAGUUCAAGUUGAUAAUUUCUACUACCCAGUAGACUUUGUUGUUCUUGACAUAGACCCAAUUGUCAAGGAAACUAAUUAUGUUCCUAUUAUCCUUGGAAGGCCAUUCCUAGCUACAUCAAAUGCAAUUAUAAAUUGUAGGAAUGGACUCAUGCAACUCACGUUUAGCAACAUGACAAUGGAGCUUAAUAUCUUCUACAUGUCCAAAAAGCCAAUCACUCUAGAAGAAGAAGAAGGUCCAGAAGAGGUGUGCAUCAUUGACACUCUAGUGGAGGAGCAUUGUAAUAAGAAAAUACAAGAGAAGUUAAAUGAAAGUCUUGGGGAUCUUGAAGAAGGGUUACUUAAACCCUCAGAUUUGCUUGCUGCUCUACAAGGUUAGAGGAGGAGAGAAGAAAUUCUACCUUUGUUCAAUAAAGAGGAGGCACAAGAAGCUGCUAAAGAGGAGACCCUAAAGCUCAAUCUGAAGCCCUUGCCCACGGAGUUGAAAUAUACAUAUCUAGAAGAGAAUAGAAAAUGUCCUGUUGUUAUAUCUUCAUCUCUUACUACUCCUUAGGAGGUCUGUCUACUUGAAGUUCUCAAGAGGUGUAAGAAAAUAAUAAGAUGGCAAAUAUAUGACUUGAAAGGCAUCAGUCCUUUAGUCUGUACACAUCAUAUAUACAUGGAAGAAGAAACUAAACCAAUUCGUUAACCUCAAAGAAGAUUGAAUCCUCAUGUGCAAGAGGUGGUGCGAGCUGAGGUUCUGAAGCUACUUCAAGCAGGUAUUAUCUACCUCAUAUCAGAUAGCCCAUGGGUGAGUCCUACUCAAGUGGUACCAAAGAAGUCAGGGAUCACGGUGGUGCAAAAUGAAAAGGGAGAAGAAGUUGCUACACACCUCACUUCAGGUUAGAGGGUGUGUAUUGAUUAUAGAAAAUUGAAUGCUGUGACAAAGAAGGAUCAUUUUCCAUUGCCAUUUAUUGAUCAAGUGUUGGAGAGAGUCUCAGGCCAUCUUUUUUAUUGUUUCUUAGACGGUUACUCCGGGUAUUUUCAAAUAGAAAUCAAUGUUGAAGAUUAGGAGAAGACCACCUUCACAUGUCCAUUUGGAACAUAUGCCUACAAAAGAAUGCCUUUUGGUUUAUGCAAUGCACCUGCAACAUUCCAAUGAUGUAUGUUAAGUAUCUUUAGUGAUAUGGUGGAGCGAAUUAUGGAGGUUUUCAUGGAUGACAUCACCAUAUAUGGAAGUACAUUUGAAGAAUGCUUAUUUAACUUGGAAGCGGUUCUGAACAGAUGCAUUGAAAAGGACUUGGUGCUCAACUGGGAGAAAUGCCAUUUUAUGGUACAACAAGGAAUUGUCCUUGGCCACAUCAUCUCCGAGAAAGGCAUUGAAGUUGAUAAAGCAAAGGUGGAACUUAUUGUCAAAUUGCCAUCCCCAACAACUGUAAAAGGAGUAAGACAAUUCCUUGGCCAUGCAGGGUUCUACAAGAGGUUUAUAAAUAAUUUCUCUAAGCUUUCAAAGCCUCUUUGUGAACUAUUGGCUAAGGAUGCUAAAUUUGUAUGGGAUGAGAGAUGUUAAAGGAGUUUUGAGCAACUGAAGCGAUUUUUGACAACGACUCCAAUAGUGAGGGCUUCUAACUGGCAACUACCUUUUGAAGUGAUGUGUGACGCCAAUGACUUUGCUAUAGGAGCUGUUAAAGACAAGAUGGAAAGCCCUAUGUGAUCUACUAUGCAAACAAGACAUUGAACGAAGCGCAAAGGAACUCCAUAACCACAGAGAAAGAAUUGUUAGCUGUAGUGUUUGCCUUAGACAAGUUUCGUGCUUAUCUAGUAGGGUCUUUCAUCGUUGUUUUCACUGACCAUUCAUCCUUGAAGUAUUUAUUAACAAAGCAAGAUGCAAAAGCAAGGUUGAUUAGAUGGAUCCUCUUAUUACAAGAGUUCAAUCUCCAAAUCAGAGAUAAUAAAUGAGUGGAGAAUGUGGUAGCUGACCACCUUUCAAGGUUGGCUAUAACACAUAAUUCCCAUGUUUUACCUAUUAAUGAUGACUUUCCAGAGGAAUCACUUAUGUUGCUAGAAAAUACUCCUUGGUAUGCUCAUAUUGCUAACUAUCUAGUUACUAGUGAAGUUCCAAGUGAGUGGAAAGCGCAAGAUAGUAAGCACUUCUUUGCAAAGAUUCAUGCCUACUAUUGGGAAGAACCUUUUCUUUUCAAGUAUUGUAUAGGUCAAAUAAUAAGGAAGUGUGUUCCUGAAGAAGAGCAACAAGGAAUCCUUAGUCAUUGCCAUGAGAGUGCAUGUGGAGGCCACUUUGCCUUUUAGAAAACAACCAUGAAGGUGUUGCAAUCAGGUUGGCCAUCACUCUUCAAAGAUGCCCACACCAUGUGUAGGAGCUAUAAUAGAUGCCAAAGGCUUGGGAAGCUGACACGAAGAAAUCAAAUGGCUAUGAACCCCAUUCUAAUAGUUGAUCUCUUUGAUGUUUGGGGCAUUGACUUCAUGAGACCUUUCCAAAUGUCUUUUGGUAACUCUUACAUUUUGGUGGGAGUAGACUAUGUUUCUAAAUGGGUUGAGGCAAUCCCAUGUAAACACAAUGAUCAUGGAGUUGUUCUCAAGUUUCUCAAAGAGAACAUCUUCUUAAGAUUUGGGGUGCCCAAGACCAUAAUCAGUGAUGGGGGUACUCAUUUUUGCAACAGGCCUUUUGAAACCCUUUUAGCCAAGUAUGGGGUGAAGCAUAAGGUAGCUACACCUUAUCACCCUCAGACUUCCGGACAAGUUGAGUUAGCAAAUAGGGAAAUCAAGAAUAUAUUGAUGAAGGUGGUAAACACGAGCAGAAGAGAUUGGUCUAUUAAGCUCCAUGAUCCACUAUGGGCAUAUAGAACAACUUACAAGACUAUUCUUAGCAUGUCUCCUUAUCGCCUAGUCUAUGGCAAAGCAUGCCAUCUUCUUGUGGAAGUUGAAUAUAAGGCUUGGUGGGCAAUUAAGAAGGUAAAAAUGGACUUGACCAGAGCCGGGGCAAAGAGGUGCUUAGACCUUAAUGAUAUGGAGGAAUUAAGAAAUGAUGCCUACAUCAAUUCCAAAGUUUCAAAACAGAGGAUGAAGAAGUGGCAUGAUCAGUUAAUCUCCAACAAAGAAUUCCAGAAGGGAUAAAGAGUCUUACUCUAUGACUCUAGGCUCCAUAUCUUUCCUGGAAAGCUAAAGUCAAGGUGGAUAGACCCUUUUAUUAUUCACCAAGUGCAUCUCAAUGGAGUGGUGGAACUACUAAAUUCCAACAGCAUAAACACUUUUAAAGUCAAUGGCCACCGUCUCAAACCAUUCAUGGAGCCAUUCAAUCAAGACAAGAAGGAAGUUGACCUCCUUGAGCCACAGAAAUCCUGACCAAAAAGGGGUUAGAUGGAAUUGGUUUUGCCAAAGUCCAUGUUUUUGUUUUAAUUUUGUUAAUUUAAAAGUGUGGACCCCGCAUUUCAUGCUCAUGCGUUUCCCACUCGAAUGGCGAGCUCGAUUUUUAUUUGAAAAAUUGAUUUUAUUUAUUGUUUAAAAAAAAUGACUUGGAGUCGCCACUUAUUUUUGUUUUAUUUUUAAAGGGUAAACAAAAUAAGAAAGAAAAACCCUAAGUGUGACUCCUUAUUUUGGAAAAGGUGAUCUACGAAAAACCGGAUUGGGUUCGGGGGUCAGGUUACUUAUCGGGAAGGUACGGUAAAGACCGUAGCACCCCUUUAAGUCCCUAAAGUCGGGUCUCUACUAAUGAGAUGAAGCUGACAUGACAAUCAAUGAGAAAAUCAAUGAAUACUUUAAUCGAUCAUGCACAUAUGAGUAUCAGAAUAUGUAUAGAGAAUAACCAAAGUGGAAGUGGAUGCAUACCUGAUCAGCAAACGACAACACGCUAUCACAAAAUGAGGUUAGUGCAUAGUAAUGAAUAUAGAGUAUAUCACUCAUAUCACCCAAUCAACUAAAGGAGCACCAAUAUCAUGCAUGGUGUUACUUCAAUUCCAUUUUUAUUUUAAAAGAAAUUUAUUUGAUGUGGGGCCCCCCACCAAAGCCCGUUUUAUUUUUGCAUGAACUAAUUCCAUAAAUUCCAUAAUUUGGAAUUACGAAAUUUGAUUCUUGCUUAUUUUUAAAACAUAAAAAAAACGAGAAAGAUGCAGAAAAGAAUUGCCGAAGAGAAAAUGGCAAUCUGUUUUAUGGAGAAUGGGAUUUUGGGACCUAGAAACUUUGAGAAUGAAGUUAAACAUGGAGUUGGAAUUAUUUAAAGACUAAAACCCAGAAAUUUAUUUGAAGAAAAGGACUUGGAAAAUUAUUUUUAAAAAGUUAAAGAUGGCAAAAUGGGAAAUGGCACUUAGAUCAAAGGUGGCCAUGCAAACACCUACCUCAGAGGUUUGACUGGAUGCAGACAUCUCACUGCAGUUACUGCAUCCCGAAGAUAUGAAACGUGUCUAAAAUUGAGAGACUCCGCUCCUUUGCUUCCUAACAAAAACUACCUCAGGAUGCGUAUAGACAACCCCAGAGACCAUAUCAUAGUCCACAUGACCUUCUUUGCCUGCUAUCACCUCUACACAUGCCACCUCAUCCUCCUCUGCCUUGUGAGUUAACAUGGAACCUGGAAUCAAAGCCGCUCUGAGCUAGUGAAGCUACUGGAUGCUGUUGAAAUCCUUAAUUUGGGCAGCACCUGAAAUCAUCACAAGAACAUCUCCAUUCCAAAAUUCCUGGAAAUUUGCUGCCUUGAUUUCAACGCCGGUGUAAUUGAGUGACAUGACAAGUGCAUGGCUUUGCAUUUUAGAUACCACUCUUCUUAUUCAAACCCUUACAUUCUCCACAUGCUAGUCGCGAGCUGAGUCCACUAACAAAAUGUUUUCAAUCAAACCAAGUUGGAAUAAUCUUCUCUUGAUUACUCAAUUAAUAUUAGAGAAUACAUUCCAUCGAGGUACAUUUGAACACAAAUAGAGACGGCGAGAUGUGAAUCCAUUUUCAGAAAUUGGGGCAUGGACCUGAAGCAGAAAUUAUAUUGGCAUUUGACAGAUAUCUCACACGUCAUAUCUUCCUGAAGAUAAAUUAAUGGGAUUCAGCCAUGUAGAGGUAGAAUAGUGUUCCCUUCACUUUGCUUCUUCAAUAACGAGAAAAUCAUCAUCAUCAUCGCUAUCAUCUUCACUCUCUGCAUCCUGAUGUUUGGCAGUCUUUAGGUCUUUCUCAAUGACACGCAACAUCCGAAGCAGUCCAUCAUCCGUGACUUCAUCACAGAAAUAUUAAAAAAAACCUGCUCAAGGGCAGACCGCAUUGGAGUUGAUGACUCUGGCAACAAUGAGAGUGAUAUUGUAUCUUUUGAAGGCUUGGUACAACAUGUCAUGUCUUGGAGGUGCAUGAAUCAAAUUCUUCCAGGAAGCAUUUGUUAGAUUAAUUUUUUGUAAUUAAUCUAUAAUUUGGGCCACACAUGUAAAUAAUUAAAAUGUGUGUGCUAUCAUUUAAUUAAGCCUAAAUAUAGUGAUCUAAUUAAUAAUUGAUUAAUUGGCUUAAGGGUAUAAUUGUCAUGAGAUUAUUGUAUAGAUACCAUUAGAUAAUUAUUAUUUCUAUGAGGGGCAGAAAUAUAAUUGUGAUAAAAUUAAAAUUGCCCUAGCAGUUUAUAAAUAGGGUUAUGGUCCCCAUUCUACCACUACGCAUUCCAAUUUCUGAAAAUCCUCUCAAAGAGAAAUUGACACAGAAUCUAGUGGCUAGAAUUGGAAGACCAUCUCAAAGGGUUUUCUUCCUAUAAGGUUUCUCCUUCAAUGGAUUCAGGUAUGCUUCCGCAAUUAUUUUUCUACUCAUUUUUUUAAUCAGGAGAUUCCAGUAUAUAUGAAAUUAGGGUAUUCAUCUUGGUUGAUUUUAACAAGACUAUUCCAGUAUAUAUAAAUUAGGGUAUUCAUCUUGGUUGAGUUAUAACAAGUGGUAUCAGAGCCUACUCCUUGAUUAAUUCUUUGAGUUAUUAUUUUAAUAUAUAUAUAUAUAUGUCAAUGGAUUAAGAUUUAUGAAAUAUUGAGUUGAUAAUUUUUUUUUUAUUACUAUUAUUAUUAUUAUUAUUAUUAUUUAAUAGCAUUUUAUGAUAUUAAUAUUUAAGUUAUUGAUCUAGCAUUUUAAAUAGGCUAAUUAAAGCGGAAAAUCACCAAAGUGACAUCUUUCGUGUAGAUUAGUCUGUUCGGGGUGUUAGAUAUUUGUGUGUAUGUGAUUCAUGUGGGUAUUGAUUGGCCCAAAGGAAAGUUAAUAUUUGGCCAAAUUGCAUACAUACCUGUGGUGAUAAAUAUGUGAUGACUAUAAAGGUAACUUAAUGUGAAUAAUAAAUCAAUCCAAAGAUAGAUUUAUUAUUUGACAUAACUUAUCAUCAAUGUUUGAUCACUACAACAAGAGUACCACUUACAGUUAAUAUUAUUGUUCAAAGACUUGAUAUUAAUGUUGUGCUAGGUAUCUUGAAAUGUCAUAAUUUGCUUUUAAAUUUAAAGAUUAUGUGUUUAAUUGCUUAUUUUAUGUGAGCAUGAUGGUUUAUUUGAUUCAUUUUAUUUUGUUCUCGAUUCAGCUUUUAUAUCAACUACUUCUAUAUCUGCCAACAUCAAUAAUGUCCCUAUGUUAAAUGGGACUAAUUUUAAGGACUGGAAAGAGAAUAUGAUGAUUCUCUUAGGCUGCAUGGAUAUAGACUUAGCCUUGAGAAUGCCCAAACCCGAUGAACUCAAUGAGCAAAGUACUCAAGAGAAUGAGGUUUAUUGGGGUAAGUGGGAACGUUCAAAUAGGCUAAGUCUUAUGAUCAUGAAGCGCGGAAUUCCAGAAGCUUUCAGGGGUGCGGUAACCGAUGAGGUUACUAAUGCCAGUGACUUCCUUGCGGAAAUUCAUAAACGUUUUGCCAAAAACGAUAAGGUUGAAACGAGCACGCUUUUAGCAAGCUUGAUUUCAAUGAAGUAUAAAGGCAAGGGUAAUGUUCGGGAGUACAUCAUGGAGAUGUCUCAUCUUGCUUCAAAACUUAAGGCUUUGAAACUCGAGUUAUCUGAUGAUUUACUCAUGCAUUUGGUUCUCAUCUCUCUUCCUGCACAAUUUAAUCAAUUCAAGGUCAGUUAUAACUGUCAAAAGGAUAAAUGGACUCUUAAUGAGCUCAUUUCAUUCUGUGUGCAAGAGGAAGAGAGAUUGAAGCAAGACAAGACCGAAAGUGCUCAUCUGGCUAGCACUUCCAAGGAUAAGGGCAAACGAAAGAAUAAGGAUAAUAAGGUUGCUGCUUCUAAUGGCCCAGAACAAAAGAAACAGAAAGUUGAGGUAACAUGUUUCUUCUGUAAUAAGCCUGGAUAUACUAAGAAGGAAUGUACCAAGUAUGCUGCUUGGCGUGUUAAGAAAGGUAUAUUUCUUACUUUGGUCUGUUCUGAAGUUAAUUUAGCUUCAGUAUCUAGAAACACAUGGUGGUUAGAUUCUGGUGCUACUACUCACAUUUGUGUUUCUAUGCAGGGUUGCCUGAGUUACCGAAAACCAAGUGAUGCUGAAAGAUGCAUCUAUGUCGGAGACGGUCAGUCGGUAGAAGUAGAGGCAAUAGGGCACUUUAGAUUAUUAUUGAAAUCUGGUUAUUUUUUGGAUUUAAUAGAUACUUUUGUUGUACCGUCUUUCAGACGGAAUUUAAUUUCAGUUUCUGUUUUGGACAAAUAAGGUUAUUGUUGUUCAUUUGGAAACAAUAGAUUUGCAUUAUCUAUUAAUUCAAAUGCUGUAGGAACCGGUUUACUUAAUGUUUAUGAUAAUCUAUAUUUGUUGGAAACUGUUCCGUCCUAUAAUGAAACCUUGCAUGUGGAAUCACGAGGUACAAAACGUAAAUUGAAUAAAGAUAAUUCAGCCUCAUUGUGGCACAAACGCCUAGUCAUAUCUCUAAAUCUAGAGUUGAGCGACUUGUGUCCGAUGGGAUUUUGGAUUCACUUGACUUUUCAGAUUUUGAUAUUUGUGUUGAGUGUAUUAAAGGAAAACAUACCAAAACAAAGAAAUUAGGUGCAAAUAGAGCUACAGACGUCUUAGAAUUAAUUCAUACAGAUAUCUGUGGACCAUACCCUACGGCAUCUUGGAAUGGUCAACAACACUUUAUAACAUUCAUAGACGACUAUUCAAGAUAUGGCUACCUAUUUCUUAUACAUGAGAAAUCACAAUCAUUGGACGUGUUCAAAACAUUUAAAGCAGAAGUUGAGUUACAACUCAACAAAAGAAUAAAGAGCGUCAGAUCUGACCGUGGUGGUGAAUACUAUGGUAGAUAUGACAGAUCAGGUGAACAACGUCCAAGACCAUUUGCUAAAUACCUAGAGGAAUGUGGGAUCGUCCCUCAAUACACCAUGCCAGAAUCACCUAGCAUGAAUGGUGUAGCAGAAAGACGAAACCGAACCCUUAAGGACAUGGUAAGGAGUAUGAUUAGUCAUUCUACUUUAUCCGAAAAACUCUGGGGUGAAGCACUCAAAACAGCAGCUUGUAUCCUAAAUCGGGUGCCAACUAAAGCGGCUGCUAAAACGCCUUAUGAGCUUUGGACGGGUCGAAAGCCCAGUUUAAAGAAUUUUCAUAUUUGGGGAUGUCCAGCCGAAGCGAGACCUUAUAAGCCUCAUGAAAAGAAAUUGGACUCUAAAACAGUUAGAAGCUACUUUAUUGGCUAUGCAGAGCGAUCAAGGGGUUUUAAAUUUUAUGAUCCUGCUAUUAGGUCAAUUUUUGAGAUGGGAACUGCAACAUUUUUUGAGGAUGUUGAGUUUGGGGGGAGAAAUCAGGCUAGGAAUAUUGUCUUUGAGGAGGAAGAGAGAUCUACUAUUGCUUUUGAUAAUGUACAGGUUUCACUACCUAUCAUUGAUCAAGAAGUAAAUUUGGAUCCUCAACCAACAGACAAUAUUGUUCAACCCUUAAUUGCAAAUGAGGACAUUGCUCCUGAAGAACAAACUCAACAACCUCAAGAAAAUAUGCCAUUAAGGAGAUCCACUAGAGAGAGGAGAAAUGCAAUUUCGGACGAUUAUAUCGUAUAUCUCUAGGAACGUGAGGUAGAAAGUGGAAUGAAGGAAGAUGAUCCAAUCAACUUCCAGCAAGCCAUGAAAAGCUCCAACUCUCAGAAAUGGAUUGAAGCCAUGAAUGAAGAGUACAAAUCUAUGCAAGACAAUAAAGUUUGGGAACUUGUCCCAUUACCAGUUGGUACGAAGCCCAUUGGUUGUAAAUGGAUAUUUAAAACCAAGCGGGAUUCAAAUGGUAAUGUAGAAAGAUAUAAAGCAUGUCUUGUAGCUAAAGGCUUUACUCAAAAAGAAGGAAUUGACUUCAAAGAGACCUUCUCUCCAGUUUCUACGAAGGACUCUUUCAAGAUAAUCAUGGCACUAGUUGCACAUUAUGAUCUUGAGUUACAUCAAAUGGAUGUUAAAACAGCGUUUCUCAAUGGUGACAUUGAUGAAACAAUUUAUAUGGUACAACCAGAAAAUUUUGUAUCCGAAGACUCAAAGAAUAUGGUUUGUAAAUUAACUAAAUCCAUUUAUGGGCUCAAGCAAGCUUCUCGUCAGUGGUACUUCAAGUUUCAUCAAAUUAUUGUCUCAUAUGGUUUUGAGGCAAAUCUUAUGGAUGAAUGUGUGUAUCACAAAUUCAGUGGGAGUAAGUAUAUUUUCCUGGUUUUAUAUGUCGAUGACAUAUUGCUAGCCACAAAUGAUAUUAGCAUAUUGCACGACACCAAGAGAUUUUUAUCAAAACAUUUUGAGAUGAAAGAUCUUGGUGAUGCCUCCUUUGUCUUAGGAAUCCAGAUACACCGAGAUCGUUCUAGGGGUAUUUUAGGAUUGUCACAAAUGACCUAUAUUGAUAAAGUCCUCCAAAGGUAUGACAUGCAAAAUAGCAAACCAGGUGAUACCCCUGUCGCUAAAGGAGACAAAUUCAGUCUUAAUCAAUGCCCUAAAAAUAGUUUAGAAAGUCAAGAAAUGCAGAAGAUUCCUUACGCUUCGGCUGUGGGGAGUCUAAUGUAUGCUCAGGUAUGUACACGUCCGGAUAUUGCGUACAUUGUUGGCAUGUUAGACAGAUAUCUAAGUAACCCUGGAAUGGAUCAUUGGAGAGCAGCCAAGAGGGUUAUGAGAUACUUACAGAGAACAAAAGAGUACAUGCUUACAUAUAGGAGAUUGGAUCAGUUAGAGUUCAUUGGGUAUUCCGACUCCGACUUUGCUGGAUGCCAAGACAGCAGAAGAUCCACAUCAGGCUAUAUUUAUCUGUUGGCUGGUGGAGCAAUUUCAUGGAGGUCUGCCAAACAGACACUCGUAACUUCAUCCACCAUGGAAGCAGAGUUUGUAACAUGUUAUGAGGCAUCCAAUCAAGGAAUAUGGCUACGAAAUUUUGUCACUGGGCUGCGUGUUCUGGAUGGUAUUGAAAGACCACUGAAAAUAUUUUGUGACAAUAAAUCAGCAGUUUUAUAUUCCAAUAACAACAGGAGCUCUACAAAAUCAAAAUACAUUGAUAUUAAGUUCCUAGUUGUAAAAGAAAAAGUACAGAGUGGACAGAUAUCCAUAGAGCAUAUUGGAACAAACUCCAUGAUAGCGGAUCAACUUACAAAGGGAUUACCACCCAAGGUCUUUCAUGAGCACACUGCUCAUAUGGGUGUUGUCUCAUUUGAGGAUAUCCAAAUUUAGUGGGAGUUUAUAUUAUUCAUUGUAUAUUGCUCUAUGUUAUGUUUAGACUUUAUCUAUAAAUUUGGAUUGUGUUCUGCAGAAAUAAAGUAUUCAUUUUAUUGCACUCUGUUAAAUUAUGCUAAAGAUUUGAUCUCAAUAAAGUUAAGUAGGACCAGUUGGAAAUAGGCAUGAAUAGAUCAUAUUGCAUGUAAUUUCCAUGCUAUGCACUCAUGAUUGAUCUAUGUCAUUUAGCUGUGCAGAUAUAUGUGACCAUUGAUUGGUCUAGUAACGAUUGAUGUAACAAAGGCCACCUUGAUCCUAUGUCAGUAUAGUUAAUGGAUGAGAUUGUUCGGAUAUACCCUAAGGACAUGAUAGCAAAUUUUGAGCUCAUAAGGUUAAGCACAUUUAUUUGAUUACAUAUGCAUGUGGCCCAGUGGGAGAUUGUUAGAUUAAUUUUUUGUAAUUAAUCUAUAAUUUGGGCCACACAUGUAAAUAAUUAAAAUGUGUGUGCUAUCAUUUAAUUAAGCCUAAAUAUAGUGAUCUAAUUAAUAAUUGAUUAAUUGGCUUAAGGGUAUAAUUGUCAUGAGAUUAUUAUGUAGAUACCAUUAGAUAAUUAUUAUUUCUAUGAGGGGCAGAAAUAUAAUUGUGAUAAAAUUAAAACUGCCCUAGCAGUUUAUAAAUAGGGUUAUGGUCCCCAUUCUACCACUACGCAUUCCAAUUUCUGAAAAUCCUCUCAGAGAGAAAUUGACACAGAAUCUAGUGGCUAGAAUUGGAAGACCAUCUCAAAGGGUUUUCUUCCUAUAAGGUUUCUCCUUCAAUGGAUUCAGGUAUGCUUCCGCAAUUAUUUUUCUACUCAUUUUUUUAAUCAGGAGAUUCCAGUAUAUAUGAAAUUAGGGUAUUCAUCUUGGUUGAUUUUUAAUAAGACUAUUCCAGUAUAUAUGAAAUUAGGGUAUUCAUCUUGAUUGAUUUUAACAAGACUAUUCCAGUAUAUAUAAAUUAGGGUAUUCAUCUUGGUUGAGUUAUAACAGCAUUAGUCGGACCACGUGAAACAUCCAAGGCUGCACAUAACUCCAUCCCAGGCAGCUUUGCCUAGCCGCUUGACAUAAGGUCAAACCCACCUCAACGUUCAUGAUCUUAAUGAACUUGAAUGAUUAACCCCAUAUCCCGAAUCUGAGAUUUCUGGACCAGUUGAUCAAGAGCUCGCAGCAUGACUUUCGAUGCAAGUUCAGCAUCACAGUCAUCUCAAAUCGAAACCUUCUUCAAUUUUCUCCUCUUCUUGGCCUGCUUCGCUUCCCAUUACCAUGACUGUAUGUCUCGCAAAAACAGCAUGAAACCGAGACCUUCUAAGUCUUCUAGGUCAUUUUCUUCGUUAUCAAGCUGCCACCAUGUGUCACCCUUGAAGGCUCGCUCGUGGCUGUUGAUUUCAUAGUGUUUGUGGCUUCAUCUUCAUGACGAGUCUCAAAAUUCAAAUUGGAGAGAAACGACAGUCCGCUUGUUUGGUGACUUCAAUGUCCAUGCUGUCUCCCUUCCCGAAACCACUUCGUUGCCAUGCACCCAAAAUAUAGAAGAAGCAACACAGGCCCAAUGCAACAAAGAUGGAAGUAGCCCAAUACAUCUACCUUUCCAAAUGUGAGUGUUGAGGGAAACAACUUCUAGACCUGCGACACUCCGGUGAAGAAAGGCUGCCUAAGAACAUGGACCAACAGCCUCCAGAUGACCAGUGUUGACAAUGAGGGGGAGAGAUUGAUGUAGGUGAGUAAGGGUAGCAACACGCACGGGAUUUAAAGAAAAUAGGUUUGCAUGGAAGAAAAUUUGACGUGAAUAUGGUUGUGGGGUUAGCUAUGGUACAUGGAUAUGAUGAGUAGAUGAGGAAUGACAUGGUGCAUGGUGGUGUAGAGAGGGAAUGGUGAUAAUAGAAAUGGGUAUGAAAGCAUGUAGUGUAGAGAGAUAAGGCUUGGGAUCAGUGGAGAGAUGGCAUGGUGGAGGUGCAAACAAUUGACAAUGGAUGUUGUGGCAUAAGGUAUAUUAACUAUGGAGAAUAAGGCAUUGGGGUAAGCAAACUUAUAGAGAGAGAAGUGGGUUUAUGGGUAUGGUUAGGUUUAGAGAGAGAAAAGGUGGUGGAAGAUUAGUGAAGGUGUAAGGCUAUGGGCAUGAUGGUAUGGGAUUCCAUUAUGUAGAGACAAGAGUGUGGGCAUGGUGAGGAUCAUGCAGAUUAAUGGAAAAUGGUAAGAGGGGAAUGGAUGAUGAAGGCAUGAAAAGUUGUCUGCACAUGGUGAAACAGUGGGAGAAAAUGGAUUGGUGGGUAUGCAGUGUAUAAGAGGUCAAACCAGGAGACUGCCAUGUCCGGAGAUCCUCUGUCUUACUCUCUCUUAAACUUCCUGUCCUUCUCAACGACAAUGGAAUCCUUCUCCAUUUCAAUACCAGUCUUGGUGAUCAAUAAGUCCAUAGUCUCCUUACCAUGAGCACUUUUCAAUUCGAAGAGGCUAGGCUUUACAUGUUCAGAAUAUGCGAAAGGCGACCCUGAGGCAGAAAUGGUGCUGCAAAUGAUCCUCUGAGAUGCCUUGUAGGUCAAUUGCUAGAGCCUUGUCAUAGAGUUUCUGUACAAGCUUGCGGUUAACGAAUCUGUCACAUAUCAAAAGAUCCCAUGGAGAACAGAUAGCAGCAGCACCAACAAGAGGAAUAUUAACCCCAUCCUCUCCAAGAUAUUUCACCAGAACAUUGGCACCAAUGCUAGUUCCAACAGCAAAUAGAGGAGCCUCUGCUCCCCAAAACGACUCGACAUCACAUCAUCAUGCCUUGAGCGUAGGGAAAGAAAGUUGUCAUCACAGGCUUCUCAUCGCCCUAUUGUGACUAACAACCAUAUUUACUUGUUGUAUCAUCUCAUACUCUCCAUUUGAUAACCAAAACUGAGCACCCCCUUCAACCUGUAUAUCCUCUUCUCUACUCACCCUAGUAACAAAGCUUUGGAGAUGCAGACUGUACAGGAUGAUAAUGCAUGGCUUUCUCAAUAUGUGAACGCCGUAUUUCCGAUCAGAAAUCCCCAUAAACUGAACUCCUAGCUCUGAUAUUCAGCAUCAUCAACGUACCAAUAACAGGGAAACAAAAUGGAAGAAAAGGAGCCAAAACAAAAACAGGGGAAAGAUAAACGAGGAAAGAAAUAAAAACAUGAACGUAUUAAAGCCUCAUUUCAGGUGACAUCCAUGGGCUAAUACGGGUGAGGAGAUCCCAGACUAGAGUUACAAAAUAUAUGAGAAACAUGAUUCCAUUAACUCCAAGCCAAACCACAAAGAUAACAGCAAAAUUAGUAACAACAGGAAGGAAAUGAUCCAGAAAAUCAAGAGAUUCCAGCAUAUUAUCGAACCCAAACUGAUGACAAAUGCAAAGCAAACCAAAAUGAGAAGAAUAUGAAUCAAAGUAAGCAAGAAAAUCACCUCAAACUCACCUGCAGCUGCUCUCUACUCCUGUUCUCUCCUUCUUCAAGCUUCACCCUAAAAAAUCCAUGGAGCCAGCAAGCUACCUUUCCUGUAACUAGUAGUGAUUACUACUCAAAAAGUGUUAUUUGAUAGCUUGUAAUUAACUCUUUUAAACACUUUUGAGUAGUAGUUAUUACCUUUUAACUCGAUUGGCAUGUUAAGGACCCUUGCAAUCAAUUCUAAUCAAAUUGUGUUAAGUUUUGGUAUUUUGAUAGCUUUUUUAUCACCAAAGCAAUCCAAGAUUGAGGAGAGUUCUUUGGAAUCCAUGGCAAAGCAAUGGAAAGCUCAGAAACAUGAAGAACCAAAGCUUUGAAGUCCUUUGCCAUAAGCAAAUCCGGAAUGCAAGGAGGGGAAGCAAAGAGAAAUCUGCCAUGAAGCAUUCUUGAUGACAGUCAUGUUAGCCACUUUUGGAGCACUUCCUGGAGUCCAAUUUAUUUAUGCUAUAUGUCGUUUCGAAGCUCAGGAAGUCAACAAUCCAAUGCUUUAAACGGUGUGCGAUUCAGAGUUGAAAUGAAUGAGUUACAACCAUUGGAAGCCGAUCACUCCAAGCUGAAGGAAGAAUUUUGCACGGCUGCGAAAUCACCCUUUUGCUGCGAAAUGAUUUCGCAGCCAUUUUGCACAGUGCUAUGGAAUUUCUCCUGAAGUUUCCCGAUAUUUGCGACCGACUCUUUUAGAUCUUUUCUUCAGAUAUUUUUGUAUAAAUUUCCAUUCUUCUCCUUGUAAUCCACCAACCAUAAGAUUUCUUAGUUAGGAAGGUUGGAAAAACGUCUUUAUAUAUAUUCCCUUGCAUCCACUGUAAAAAGGAUAGAUAUAUAAAAAUAUAGAAUAUACAGAGCCUUGCUCUGUUUUUUCCUUCUCUUUCAUUUUCAUUUUCUUGCUAACCAAACUCUGAGGAUUUUUCCUCAGAGGAUGAGAGGCUAGGCUUUUCGCCUCUUGGAGUGAGGAAAGCCGGGUAAGUUUCCGCAUGCAUAAAUUGGAAGUUUUGUUGUUUUAGUUUUUAAUGAAGAGAAAGUGUGACCCGUUAAUGGUUUUUAUCUUUUUAGUUAACUUAAAACGCCUUUAAAUCACCUGGGCCAACACUUGGUAAGGCAAGUGAUCUCCGUCCAUGGAGAUUCAUUAGUUUAUCUCUUGCGAGCUUUUGGGAGGUGGUUUGAAGGUAGGAUUUUCUAGAAUAGCCAACACUUGGUAAGCUUUUGGACUCCAAGGAGACAUCCAUUAGUUAUCUCUUGCGAGCUUUUGACGGGUAAUCCAAGGUUAAAGAUCACCUUGAAUGGCAAGUGCUAGAUGAGAGGCAUGAGCUAUUGCAAGGUGCAUCAGUGAGAGGGAUUUAGUGUUUGAACCCAUUAAUGGGAAGCAUCUGUACAGCAUCGGUUAGAGAAUUAACUAUAUGUUAAUUCUCUAAUGCGAGGAAAAGAAACAAGUGACCGGAACUCCCUUUUUGUAUGAGGAAUCUGUGCCUAGUGAUCUGAAACUCCAAGAAACACUUUUCUUUGUAAGUAAAAUCAGUUACUAUUUUUGGUUAGUUUAAAAUCAAACCUUUUUUCAUUCAAACAUCUUUAUGUUUUCUUUUAAAGCUAACCUUGAAAUGAAAAGGCACCAAUUCAACUUUGAAUUAAUAUCAUUUGUGAAGUGAAAACCCAUCCCAGUGAACGAUCCUAGAGCCACUAUGCUAUAGUAGCUUUGUCUUUGCUACCCUAGUUCAUGGUGUAAUAGGUUAUAAAUUUUGUUGAUUACUUCCUCAAUCAAGGAGCACUAGCUGGACAUGAAUCAGCUGAUACACCAAGUGGGCACGAAUCAAGUAGCCUUUCCAGAAAAGGUACUCUCCAGUUCCUCUCACUUCCUCCUUCUUCAACUCGUUUUUUUUUCCUCAAGCUAAGCAAACCUCUCAAAAAUAUCUCUCAUCUCCCCCAAAAAAAAAACCAAACAAAAGCUCUCCCCCCGUUCUCUCCAGAAAUCUCCUCUGUUUCUCUCAGCUCAUUUUUUUUCCAAAAUCCCAGUUCUGCUGCUUCCUCUCUAGAAUCCUCUCUUCCCCUCAGAAAAACCUCUUCCCUUUAGGCAAAUAUCCUUAUUGCCUGAUUUGCCCCUACAACAAUAUCUCUGGAAACAGCCACCUCCCAAAAGCAACCUUACUUUCUGCAGAAUAUUCCCUCUCUCAUACGCUCCUCCUAACCGCUUGCAGAGACUUUCUAGAAUGCCCCUCCACGUGUCACCCUCGUAUUCGCUCCUUGAUUCCACUAUCUGAUGCUAUAGCAACCAGACGGGAAUCGACACGUGGCUACUCAUAGCUGCGACACCUGGCAAAAAGAGUUGCAAAAAAAUGCAUGAAAGUGAGGUCCCCAAAAUGGGGGUCUACAAAAAGCUUUAUUAAUUGUUUUAAUUUUGAUCUUAGCUUUGAUUUAUGUUAUUUUGAUAUAAACUUAGACUUUUUGAAUGAUCAAAAUUAUGAGGAAUUUCAAAAUAAGUGGAGGGAAGCCAUAUGGAACCAAAGAAGCACAAAAACAGAGGAAUUUAUGCUCUUGUGAAAAUUUCGUAGCCAAAAGAGUCACCCUACGAAAAGAGGCUUUCCCUGCGAAAAAUUUUUGCAGCCACAAGACCCCCCCUGCGAAACCACCCCUAGGCACAUGUGUGCCAUUUUGCAACCCAAAAGCCCAUUUCGUAGCUACGAAAUGAGCUGCGAAACCACCUGCGAAAUUCCCUUUUUGCUACGAAAUCCCUCUUUAGCUGCGAAAUUCCCUUCCUCCUGCGAAAAUUUCAACCGUCAUUUGAAUACCUAUUUAAGCCUCUAAAUUCCUACAUUUCAUUUCGCACAACUAUUUUGACCUACGAAAAGCCCCUCCAAGUGCAAAACUCAACCAAAAUUAGAGGACCCUUUCCAAGGGAAGUCCAGAGGACAUCCAUUUAAAGCAUAACACCCCACGCACCUCCCCUCACCCUCUAAAGCCUCUUCACUUCAGCCAUGGCCAAAACGAGAGGAGCCAAAACCCCAUCUCCAUUAGCCCGCAGUAGUACACUGAGAGCUUCACCUGUGCGAGACUCAAUGAUUGAGCCUCCACAACCACUUGCCAUCCCACCUUCCGAAGAUGGAGCGCCGUCUAGUCUUCCUCAGUAAUGAUAUCAGACCAGGAGACCACCUACUAGACCAAGGGUAAGCUCUUUCCGUCCCAAGAAGUCAGCUAGUCGCCCUCAUGCGAAGAAAGCCAGAGUCUCAGCUCCAGUAGAGCCAUCAGAGCCUUCAUCAGAGCCUCAACAACCUACCACAGAGUCUCAGAUUCCUUCUGGGAUGACUCCAGAUGUGGUUAUUAGACGACCUAUGGUUACUCAGCCACCCAUAGAGGGAAAUUUGGAUUGCCGGGCUAGGCCAUUCCACUUUGAGCUAUGUUUUGACAGAGAGACUUUCAGACACCAGCCAGAGCUCAGAGAUUCAUUCCACUUACUUCAGAGGUACCAUUUGGAGCAUCUGAUGGCUCCAAGGGAUUUCUUCUAUCCCUAAGUAGCAUUAGACUUUUAUCAGUCUAUGACUACGUAUCGCGUCUGGGAUCCUACUAUCAUCCACUUCACUAUGGAUGGACGUCAUGGUAUCUUAGGAGCCAAACACAUAGCAGAGGCCCUGCGCAUUCCAUAUGAGCCAGUGCGUCCAGAGGAUUAUAGAGAGUGGGCUCAUCUUUCUCAGAGUGAUAUGGUUCGUAUACUGUCCAAGGGGACAUCCACAUGCUCGUUUAUUUUGAGAAAGGAGCUUCCUCCCAGCAUGUUUCUUCUAGAUGCACUCCUACGCCACAACAUAUUUCCAAUUUAGCACAUGGUGCAGAGGAGGGGAGCUAUAUUGGAGGCCUUGUUUAGGAUGUCAGAGGGUUUUUACUUUGGCCCUCAUCAUCUCAUCAUGACCGCUCUUCUUUACUUUGAAGAGAAAGUCCACAGGAAGAAGCUACUGAGAGCAGAUGCCAUUCCACUACUAUUCCUGAGGUUGCUUUGUCAGAUAUUAGAGCACUUGGGCUAUCCUUCUGAGCCUCAGCUUAAACGCAGACGCAUUUUCCUAGAGAUAUUCACUCUCGACAAAUGGACUAGUAUGACGACUUAUGUUGCACAGCCAGGAGCCUUAGUUGGACUAGAGCAUCCAGAGAUACCACAACUAGAGGAGCCAUAGCAGCCACAACAGGCACAGCAGGCUGAGAUACCUACGGAGAUCAUAGCACCUGCCCCUGCAAUGCCUUCUACAGGACUUACGCUUGAGGUCACAUCUUCUGCUCCUCUUACCACUACUGGGACUUCGCCAGUUGUACCAGCUGCAUCUAUGCCUCAUCCAUCUGAGUUUAGUAUCUCCAUAUCUAUUUCAAAGUUCAGAGGCCUAUGUCAUACUUUACAGACAUUGACCACUACUCAGAGCAUCCUUGUCCAAUAGAUGGCAGCCAUACUUGCACAUCAGGAUCAACUUAUCGCUACUCAGACCAAGCAUACUGCCAUCCUUAGGCAAAUACAACAACAUUUGGGAAUUCUAUCGCCACCUGAGCAUGAUAUGCCUGGCCCAUCAGAGUUUACAGAUCCAUCCUAGGAUGCUCCUCUAGCAGAGCAGACUGUGCCCCCCUAAGAAGACGACUACAGGAGAGAUCGAGACACUGAUCCCGAGCACUCAAACUUCUACAAUCGAGCCAUCAUCUCCACAUGAUCCUCCCAUCACCAUCUGAUCAUAAAUCUAUUUUCUUUUUUGUAUUUACUUAUUACAAUAGAACUCGUGAUCCCAUGUUUUUGAUGUUUUAUAUACUAGGAUUGGAUGUAUUACUUGUUUUUUAUUCAUAGUGUACUUUCUUAAAGUAAUACAUAUCCAUCAAUUUUUAGUAUACUGGGCAUAAUAUCAUUUUAUUUCCUCUACUCAUAAUUUUUUGUUGUUUUUGAAUCAUGUGGUUUCUCCUAAACGACUCAAACUCCAUGUCACUUAGGAGGUGCCACUUCCUCCCUGUAUUUUUAAUCGCUCUUGCCACAUUGAGGACAAUGUUCAACUUGGUUGGGGGGAAGAGAGUUGAGGAAGCAAGUUUUUGUUAUUAACGCUAAGUUAUUUUGAUAAUUUAAUUGCUUUUUGCUUAAUUUUAAUUUUUUUUAAAGUUUUUAUUCUACUUUCCAUGGUUAUUAAGGAAAAAUUCUCAAAAUGAAAUGGGAGAAAUUGAAUUUUUGUCUUUUUACUUGACUUAGAGUUUGUAUUAUGCUUACUAAAGUUGACGAAUUGUUGAAACUUCUAUUGAAUUCAACUUUAGUUCUUCCACUUUAAGCUAUUCACACACUUUGCACACUAGGUUCCGAUUAUAAGAUGAAAAACUAUAUCACCCCCUUGACUUAGGAAAAUUUAGACUUGGUACUUUUGACCUCAUUUAAUAGUGUUGGGACACCUUAUAAAAGGCCAAUGAGCCUUUGAAAAAAAAAAAGAAAAAAAAUGUUUUACUUACCUUGAAACCCGAGCAAGGUCUGAGAGGUAUAUGGUGAAAAUCUUUAAAACCUAGUUCCCUAAGCCUUCUAUGGACCCGCAUUUUUCACAUGCGCUCCCACUCGAUCGGUGAGACUCGCUUUUUAUUUGUGAAAAAUUAAUUUUUAGAAAAGUCGGAGUCGCCACUUGUUUUAUUUUUAUUUUAAAGGGAAAAUAGAACAAGAAAGAAAAACCCUAAAAAAAAGGUGACUCCAUAAUUUUUGGAAAAGCAUGUAUUUGAAAACCCAAGUCUUGGUCUGGGGAUCAGGUUACUUAUUGGGAAGGUACCUCUAGGAGGUAGCACCCCUCUAAGCCCUAUAAAGGUCUCUACUGACAAAGUUAAGGGAAGUGUGGCCAUUAAUCAGUUAAUUAUAGGUACCUAAGUAGGCUAGGUGAUUUCAAAUAUUGCAUGCCAAACAAGAUCAAAUUACAAUAAAGGAGAGUUAGGGUGCAUACUUGGACGGCUUCUCAAAACGCUAUCAUAAAACAUGAAAGUUUGUAUUGAGAUACAUCACACAACAUGCAUUUUAUCAAAGAUAAUCAAACAAUCAUCAAAUAUAUAUCAAGACAAUCAAACAGGAUAGCAAGCAUGGGCAUAGUAUGCAAUGACAAUCAUAUUCAUAGGGUUUAGAAAGUGGGUAUUAGGGAACGUACCUGGAUAGCAUAUAUAACUCCUAAUGCGCUUCCUCAGGACAUGGAGGGUUAGAUAAUAAAUAAUAAAUAAUAAAUCCUAGCAUGCUUAUAUAAUUAAUUAGCAAAAAUUAUCAGAAUACGGAAUAAUUAAUUAUCAUAUAUAUCUUGUAUACAAUUCCUAAAAAGAAAAAUGUGAAUAUGAUUACAAUAAAUAGUAGAGUGGUAGCAAAAAUAAAUUUUGAAAAGAUUUUCUUAUGUAGGGGUUUCACUAAUUCCCCAAUUGAUAUACACAAAUCUAGCUUGGAAUUAUCCCAUUUGUUUGGGACCACAAGCUUGGAUUCAUGUCUUACUCAAAACUGUAAUUUUAUUUGAAAUUUAAGAAAGAUGCAAACCGAUCAAAAUGUGGUUGCACAUUAUUUGAGAAAAUGAGAUUUUGAUCCUAAGAACUCUAAAUGAAUUUUUGAAAUGGAUUGUUAAGGGGAUCUUUUGACUCUAAGAAACUCUAAAUGAAUUUUUGAAAUGGAUUUUUAAGGAACAUGAGAUUUUGAGAAUAUUGUUAUGUUUUAAAGAUAAAAGAAGUUAAUUUGAAAACAAUAAAAUGUAUGAAUCAAAAUACAAAGAAAAAAGAACAAAAUCACAAAGUAAAAUUUUUAACAACCGAUAAAAUUGAAGUGGUGGGAAUGGAGGCCAAUCUUCACUAUCUUCCGAUAGCCUCUAAAAAUUGAAUUUGACAAAGGAUGACCAAAGUGAUAAACUAAAACCUUAGAUCUUACAAGCACUGAAACUUUAAAAACAUUUAAUCUUAAGAUAAACUUAAUCAAGCACUAAAUAUUAUGUGAUCUUUAAAACGGUACAAGCGAUACGUAUUAACUAAUAUUGACAAUUUUGAGUCAUAAAUCUAAUCGGCUAACUAAACAAUUGAAUAAAAGAAAACAAACACAUAAACUAAAUAAAAUUAGUCAAAAACUAAAAUGAAUUAUUUUUAAACACAAAAUGAUAACAUGGGGAUAGAUUAAACUAAUUGCCUGCAAUUCGAAAGCAUAGAAUGAAUAGAAAAAUGAAAUUAACAAUUUUAAAACAUAAACUAAAUAGUAUGAAACCAAUCAAACUAAUGAAAAUUCUAAAAAACAAAUCAACUAAAACAAGAUCAAUCAAAACUAAAAUAAUUUUUUUUUUACUUUUUAUUUAUUUUUAUUUAUUUUAAAACGUGAAUAUAUCAACGUGGAAUGAAAUAAAUUAACCAACUUAAAUUCUAAAACUAAUAAACUAAAAGGAUGAAUCAUGAAUUAAAAUUAACAACCUUUAGAUAUCAAAAGAGUGACAUGGAAUCAAUUGAACUAAUAAACUGAAAUUUUAAUAACAUCUAAACCAAAAGAUAAAUUAAAACUAAAUUGAAUAAAAUUAUGAAUUUCCUAAUUGAGAAAAAAAAAUAAUGUUAAUCUGAAUUCUAAAUUUUUAACUAUCAUAACAAAUUAUCUAAACUCUAAAAAAUCUUAACUUUUCCAUUAUUAACAAAAAUUGCCAAAACCAAUACUAAAGAACUAAUUUGUCAAACUAAGAAAAUAAAUUAUAACUACAUUGAACAAAAACAUAAUUUUCAAGCUAGAAUAAUAAAUCAAAAAUAAUUUAUUUAUAAUUGGAUAAAUAUAUAUAUGAUCAAUUAUUUUAAUGAAAUAAAAUUUUAUAAGAGUGCUUAAACCUAAAGUAAAAUUAAAAACUAACAAAAAUGAUUUUUAAAAACCAAAUCUCUAACCUAUAGAAUCAAUUUUAAUUAUAAUUAAAUAAAUUACAAGGCAUUAAAUUGGUAACAAAUGAAUAAAUAAAUAAUCAAUAAUUAAAUGAAUCAAAACCACAUCAAAUAAAGAUUAAAACAUGUAUUUAUUUUUUUUUAAGUAAAGCUACCUAAAAUCAUAUUUUAUGAAUUUAAUAUAAUACAUUAAAACUAACCUUUAACGUGAUGAAUAAAAAAAAUUAAACAAAUGUGAGAUUGUAUUGCCAUAUUAAAACAAACACGUGUUGAAGCUAAUAAACAAAUCAACCCACUCAACCCAAUAUAAUAAUCCGAAAAUGGUACAUCACAAGACAUCAAAGCUCCACCAAAUGUAAUAACUUAAACAAUUAAACCACAAGUAACAUUUUUUUUUAUUUUUUAUUGCCAUAUUCAAAUGAAAAAUAUAAUAAUCUAAACUGAAAUGAAACCAAAUUUAUAUAUAUAUAUAUUUUCAAAGCAACCCAAUGUAGAAAACAAAUCAACUUACCAGCGGCUAGGUGCGUGGACUAUUCUUCUCAAAAGUGGCAGCUGUGUAAGUGGAUGGUAUGAUGAGUCAAAUCUGGUCGGCUAUGCUUGCUCCAAAGCAAUCCGAAUGGUGUUUGGUUUGCUGUGGUGUUUAGGGACAGGUAGCAAUAGGUUGUAGCAUGGAGAUGGUGCUCAAAAGUGCCACCCGUGGAGGCUCUAUUGGUGCAUGUCUGUUGUGGUGUUUAGGGGCAGGUGGCAAUAGGUUGCAGCGUGGAGAUGGUGCUUUUUCUAAUUCUGAAAACUGAAGCUCACAAAAAACGUUAGGUCAUGCCGUGUUGAUGCAAUGCCACAAUCUAUUCUUCCUUUCUAUCCGAAAAAAAACCACUGCAAGAUGGAGAAGAUUAUUCUCCCUUUCUUGGAGAAUGGUCCCGCCAGCUGAUCGUUCCUCUCUCAAAGACGUGAAUUUCCCCUGGACUAUGUGGUAGAUGGUGCGGCCUGUGUAUGCGUUCACUUGCAGGUGUGGCUGCGACUUUCGGACCCCAGAAUGAUGCGGCUACCCCUUCCUUAAUCCGGUGAUCAGAAAAAAAUCUCUCUCAAUCCAAUGAUCAGAAAAAAAAAAUCCCUUUUUCUCCACAGCAGCCCGCUCCAUCCCCCUUUUUUUUUUUCCUUUUUUUUUUUUUUGAAAAUUUUCUUUCCCUAAAAAAAAAAACUCUUCUCUUCCUCUAUAUCUUCCCCACAAAACUGUCUUCAUUCAUUCCCAUGAGUGUCCUUCUAUCAUGCCCUGAAUCCACCCUUCCAAAACCGACAUGAUCCCUUUCCAUGAGCGUGUUCUGCACCUUCUCGUUGACUCCACCUUCAAGGAAAAAUCACUCACCAACCCGGAGAGAGCUAGCAAGCAGUUGCGUGUUGCUGAGUCACCUUCCCAAAGAUAUUCUCUAUUCAUUCCUUCUUUCUAAAACACUAAAUGAUCCAUCAUUCCAAAAAAUGCAUAACCUUCCUUAUCCAUGACUUCUAUCAAAUAUCAGCCUACAGAAUUUCAUAGAAACAUGCUCAGAAUCCUCCAGAAUGUGCACCCAACUCCUUACCAAAAAUGUGCUCCAAGUCCUCCAUUUGGCUAAUCUAUGAUAAAAAAAAAUCAGUAAAAGUAACUAUACUAAUAAUAAUAAUAAUAAUAAAUAAAUAAAUAAAUAAAUAAGUAAAUAAAUAAAACAUUUAAACAAAAUUAUUAGAUUAUCAAGGACAAGUAUUACGAAAAUGUGACAAAAUAAUAGGAAAAUAAAAUAAAGAAGGAAAUAGACAAAAUAAUAAAUAAAAUAAACAAAAAUAUAAUAAUAAAAAGCCAAGAUAUGCAACUCCAUAAUAAACGAGCCAUGCAAGUCAUGCAAGCCAUACAAAAAAGCAAUCCAUACCAACCAUGCAAGCAUGCAAAAAUUCCCUAAAAGGUAACCUAAGUGGGCCUAAGAUGCCUAAGUGAGCCUAAGGCGAUUAAGUGGGCCUAAAGUGAUCUAAGUGGGCCUAGGGUACUAAGUAGGCCUAAAGUGUCUAAAUGGGCCUAAAGUGAUGCCUAAUGGGCCAAGUGUACCUAAAUGGGCCUAGGGAUACCUAAAUGGGCCUAGGGUGCCUAAGUGAGCCUAAAGUGAUCUAAGUGGGCCUAAGGUAACUAAGUGGGCCUAAAGUGUCUAAAUGGGCCUAAAGUGAUGCCUAAUGGGCCAAGUGUACCUAAAUGGGCCUAAGGAUACCUAAAUGGGCCUAGGGUUACCUAAAUGGGCCUAGGGUGCCUAAGUGCUAUCCUAAAAAAAGCAAGAAAAGUCGAAGUCUAAGUUAGGGCUGCCAAGGGUCACAAUAAGGGGCCAGAUAAUCCCUCAACUAAAGUCUCCGAGGUGGCUUAGAAAAGAUAGGCUACACGAGUAUUAAUGGGCCACCAGGGAAUUGCUAUAAACGACAUGUGCGAGGAAGACAAAAUAGAGGGUCUACACCUUCAUUGGUUGAGAGUCACCGACCUCAAUGCUCGUUACAAGGGUGAAUAGGUGGAGUUUAACAUACUGUAGGUGCUUGGGUAUUAAAAUUCAUUCUCAAAAGUCCGGGGUAAAAUCUGAGGAGUUAGUGGUUGAAAGAUCCUUAAAGCUUGAUGCCCUAAACCUUAAUUGGUUGGGAGUCAUCGAUGGACCCCCGUUACAUGGACAAUUUAGAAAAGAAUACCUUUAAGCCUUUUACUCCUACAAUGAAAAAAAAAAAUUGUGAACCAAGAGGUGUGUUCUUAGCCUAUUGAAGGUUGUCAGUCUGCUAAGUGUUGAAAAAGAACUAGGUUGGGGGGAGAGGUUAGUUCAGCAUACUAUAUUCAGAAGCUAAUAAGUAACACUAAGAUUUUUGUGGAAGAGUAAGGUUUGGCCAUUUGAGAGUGGAAAUUCUUUUAAAGCUUAAAUUUGCAUAAUGUUUUCUCUUUAUGAAUUGUGAUUAGACAAGUUAUUUGAUAACUCUUGUUGAAGUUUGAGUUUUAUAUCCUUAAUGUUCCAUGAGAGAAUAUGCUCUACAUCAUGCCACUUGAAAUUUUUUUGGAGUGAUCAACAUGAUGUUGUAAAUUAUAGUACUGUUUAUUUUUCUUUUUCUCUCCUUCAUUGCUAAGGGACUAGCAAUAUGUCAGUUGGGGGGAGUGAUUACUACUCAAAAAGUGCUAUUUUAUAGCUUUCAAUUAACUCUUUUAAACACUUUUGAGUAGUAGUUAUUACUUUUUAACUCAAUUGGCAUGUUAAGGACCCUUGCAAUCAUUUUUAAUCAAAUUGUGUUAAGUUUUGGUAUUUUUGAUGGCUUUAUGAUCACCAAAGCAAUCUAAGAUUGAGGGAGAGCUCUGUAUAAUCCAUGGCAAAGCAAAUGGAAGCCCAUUUACAGGAAGAAUCCAAGCUUUGGAGCUUUGUAGUCCUUUGCCAAAAGCAAAUCAAGAAUGCAAGGAGGAAAAACAAAGAGAGGAAUCUAACAUGAAGAAAUUCAAGAGGAUGGCAACUGUAGGACACAUUUUGAGCACUUCCUGGAGUCCAUUUUAUGCAUACUAUAUGUCGUUUCGAAGCUCGGGAAGUCAGGAGUCCAACGCUUCAAACAGUACACAAAUCAGAGUUGAAAUGAAGAAUUAUGGCCAUUGGAAGACAAUUACACCAAGUUGAAAGGCAAUUUCGCAAGUUGCUAAAUCAUAAAGUGCUAGCUGCGAAAUCAACAUUUUCUUGCAAAAUGGAGACUUUCAGCUUGCAAAAUUUUCACAGCUCAUUUUGCAAGCUGCGAAAUCCACCUAUGUGCUUCCAGAUAUUUGCGAUCGACUCUUUUAGAUUUUUUCUUCAGAUAUUUGUUGUUUAAAUCCCCAUUUUCUCCUUGUAAUCCACCAAUCCUAGGAUUCCUUAGUUAGGAAGUAAGAAGAAAGGGUGAAUAACCUCCUAUAUAUAUUUUGUAAUUUUCUUUCUAUAGAUAUCUCGGGAGCUUGUUCUCAGAGACCAAAUUUUGUAUAGUUUUGAAGAAAGUAAUACACAGAGCUUUGCUCUACCUUACAUACUCAUUUUGAUUGUAUUUUUCUCACUAGCCAAACAAGCUUUGGGGAUGUUUCCUCAGAGAAUGAGUGGCUAGCCUUUUUGUCUCUUGGAGUUAAGGAAGCUGGGUAAGGUGCCAAAUGCAAAAAUUUGAAGUUUUGUUGUUUCAGCUUUUAAUGAAGAGAAAGUGUGACCUAUUAAUAGUUUCUAUGUUUUUCGUUAACUUAAAAUACCUUAAAAUCACCUGGGCCAACACUUGGUAAGGCAAGUGAUCUCCAUCCAUUGAGAUACACUAGUUUAUCUCUUGCGAGCCUUUGGGAGGUGGUUCAAAUGUAGGAUUUUCUAGAAUAGCCAACACUUGGUAAGCUUUUGGACUCGAAAGAGACAUCCAUUAGUUAUCUCUUGCGAGCUUUUGAAGGGUAAUACAAGGUUAAGGAUCACCUUGAGUGGUAAAUGCUAGGUAAGAGGCACGAGCCAUUGCAAGAUGAAUCAGUGAGAGGGAUUUAGUGUUUGAAUCCAUAAAAGGGAAGCAUCUGUACCACACCCGUUCGGGAAAUAACCAUAUGUUAAAUCCCCAAUGUGAGGAAAAGAUUCAAGUGACCGGAACUCUAUUUUUGUAAUAGGAGCCUGACCCUAGUGAUCCAAAAACUCCAAGAAACACCUUUCUUUAUAAGUAAUUUCAGUUACUAUUUUUGGUUAGUUUAAAACCAACCAUUUUUCAACCAAAGUUUAUGUUUUCUUUUAAAACUAACCUUGAAAUGAAAAAGACACCAAUUCAACUUUGAAUUAAUAUCAGUUUUAAUUUGAAAACCCUUCCCAGUGAACGAUCCUAGAGCCACUAUGCUAUGCUAGCUGAGGCUAUCCUAGUACAUAGUGAAAUAAGUUAUAAAUUUUGUUGAUUACUCUUGUCUGAGGACCAAAAUCAAGGUACACUAGUUGAUUGAUCACCAAUCAAUAAGACAUACACCACAUGAGCACAAAAUCAGGAUGAGAACUAGAACAUUAGCUUAGGAUACUUGACCACAUGUGGGUGCAUAUGUGUACAUGAAUUUCUAGUGGUAGAGUUUUAGCAGUGCAUCAGAUGAGGGUUUAUCCAAUGUUGGUUAAAAGAUUUGCAGUUUUGGUUGGAUCUGAUUUUGGUACUACGGUCACAUCUUAGCACAUGUUUGGUUCAACCUUAGAUAGGUUCCAUAAUACUAGGAUUCCUUUUUUUAUGUACUCUUCUUCGCCUUUUAUAUUAUUUAUGUAUAUUUUCUUCUUUUUUGCCACUUGGCUUUACUAUGUAGACUCAUCUUAGACCUUCCACUCCAUACCUUUAAUUAAGAUACUUGAUUCAUUUCUCAACUCAUAACUCUUUAUCAUUUUCUCAUUUAGUUCAUGAAGUGUAUCUUUUUUAACACAUUUUUUUUUCAUAAUACCCACCUCGGUUACCUUGUUUUUUCUUUUGGAGUUAGUGUUGAUGAAUGAAUCAAGAUUGUUUCAAUUUAGGUAAGAGAGUUAGUUCUAUGUUGGAGUCACCCUUCAUUUUGUAUCAUUGUCCCAAGGGUUGUGUUGAUAUUUCUCAUUGUAUCAUUAUAGGCUAUUUUUUCUUAGUAGAUCUGUGUUUUUAGUUUAGAGCCAACUGCGUGGAUUCAAGUAUAGGGUUAAUUAGUCAGGGUGUUAGAUCAAAUUAGUAUGGAUCAACAGGUGGUGACUGUGGAUCAGUUAGCUACUACCAUGACCAGUGUCCAUGAGGCAAUCAGUGGUUUGAGUUAGAGAAUAAACCAGGACCAGAGUACACAAAAGCAAACCUCUUAAGAUCUGAUAUCACCAGACUCAAUUGUUUCCCAUUUUUAACAGAUAUAACAUUACUACUCAAAAAGGGCUAUUUGAUAGCUUGUAAUUAACUCUUUUAAACACUUUUGAGUAGUAGUUGUUACCUUUUAACCCAAUUAACAUAUUAAGGACCUUUGCAAUCACUUCUAAUCACUUUGUGUAAGUUUUGGUGUUUUUGUUAGUAAUUUGAUCACCAAAGCAAUCCAAGUUUGAGGAGAGUUAUUUGGAAUCCAUGGCAAAGCAAUGGAAAGCUCAGAAACAUAAAGAGCCAAAGCUUUGAAGCUUUAAAGUCCUUUGCCAUAUGCAAUCCGGAAUGCAAGGAGGGGAAGUAAAGAGAAAAUCUGCCAUGAGACAUUCUUGAUGACAGUCAUUUCAGCCACUUUUUGAGCACUUCCUGAAGUCCAAUUUAUACAUGCUAUAUGUCGUUUCGAAGAUUAGGAAGUCAAAAAUCCAAUGCUUCAAACGGUUCGUGAAUCGGAGUUGAAAUGAAGAAGUUAGAGUCAUUAGAAGCAGAUCACUCCAAGAUGAAAGCCAAUUUCGCAGGGCUACAAAAUCAGCCUUUAGCUGCGAAAUCAGCCUUUGGCUGCGAAAUGAUUUCGCAGCCAUCCUGUUUGUGCGCCUGCGAAAUUCUCCUGAGUGCUUCCAGAUAUUUGCGACCGACAUUUUUUUAUAUUUUGCUUCAGAUAUUUGAUGUCUAAAUCCCAAUUCUCUCAUUGUAAUCCACCAAUUAUAGGAUUCCUUAGUUGUUAAGCAAGAACACAAGAGUAAACAACCUCUUAUAUAUUGUUUUGUAAUUUUCAUUUUAUGAUAUCUCGGGAGCUUGUUCUCAGAGAACCAACUUUUUGUAUAGUUUGAAAGGAAGUAAAAUACAGAGCUUUGCUCUGCCUUACCUUCUCACUUUGAUUGUAUUGUUCAUUCACUAGCCAAACAAGCUCUGAGGAUGUUUCUUCAGAGGAUGGGUGGCUAGGCUUUUUAUUUCUUGGAGCUAAGGUAGUCGGGGAAAUGGCCGAAUGCAAGAAUUGGUAGUUUUGUUGUUUCAGCUGUUAAUGAAGAGAAAGUGUAACCCGUUUAUGAUUUCUAUGUUUUUAGUUAACUUAAAACGCCUUCAAUUCACCUGAGCCAACACUUGGUAAGGCAAGUGAUCUUCGUCCAUGGAGAUGCACUAGUUUACUUCUUGCGAGCUUUUGGGAGGUGACCUGAAGGUAGGAUUUUCUAGAAUUGCCAACACUUGGUAAGCUUUUGGACUCUAAGGAGGCAUCCAUUAGUUAUCUCUUGCGAGCUUGAGAAGGGAAGUCCAAGGUUAAUGAUCACCUUGAAUGGCAAAUGCUAGGUGAGAGGCACGAGCCAUUGCAAGUUGCAUCAGUGAGAGGGAAUUAAAGCUGAAAUCCAUUUAAGGGAUGCAUCUGUACAACACCGAUUAGAGAAUUGACUAUAUGUUAAUUCUCUAAUGCGAGGAAAUGAACCAAGUGACCGAAGCUCUGUUUUUGCAUGAGGAACCUCCCAUGUGAACCUGAACCUCCAAGGAAUGUUUUUCUUUAUAAAGUAAUUCCCAUUACUUUCUUUUUAGUCAGCUUGAAACCAAACCUUUUUCAACCAAAGUUUAUGUUUUCUUUUGAAACUAACCUCGAAAUGAAAAGGCACCAAUUCAACUUUGAAUUGGUAUCAGUUGUAAGUUGAAAACCCUUCCCAGUGAACGAUCCUAGAGCCCCUAUGCUAUACUAGCUUAUGCUAUCCUAGUGCAUGGUGAUAUAGGUUAUAAAUUNNNNNNNNNNNNNNNNNNNNNNNNNNNNNNNNNNNNNNNNNNNNNNNNNNNNNNNNNNNNNNNNNNNNNNNNNNNNNNNNNNNNNNNNNNNNNNNNNNNNUCAGAGGAUGAGUGGCUAGGCUUUUUAUUUCUUGGAGCUAAGGUAGUCGGGGAAAUGGCCGAAUGCAAGAAUUGGUAGUUUUGUUGUUCAGCUGUUAAUGAAGAGAAAGUGUAACCCGUUUAUGAUUUCUAUGUUUUUAGUUAACUUAAAACGCCUUCAAUUCACCUGAGCCAACACUUGGUAAGGCAAGUGAUCUUCGUCCAUGGAGAUGCACUAGUUUACUUCUUGCGAGCUUUUGGGAGGUGACCUGAAGGUAGGAUUUUCUAGAAUUGCCAACACUUGGUAAGCUUUUGGACUCUAAGGAGGCAUCCAUUAGUUAUCUCUUGCGAGCUUGAGAAGGGAAGUCCAAGGUUAAUGAUCACCUUGAAUGGCAAAUGCUAGGUGAGAGGCACGAGCCAUUGCAAGUUGCAUCAGUGAGAGGGAAUUAAAGCUGAAAUCCAUUUAAGGGAUGCAUCUGUACAACACCGAUUAGAGAAUUGACUAUAUGUUAAUUCUCUAAUGCGAGGAAAUGAACCAAGUGACCGAAGCUCUGUUUUUGCAUGAGGAACCUCCCCUGUGAACCUGAACCUCCAAGGAAUGUUUUUCUUUAUAAAGUAAUACCCAUUACUUUCUUUUUAGUUAGCUUGAAACCAAACCUUUUUCAACCAAAGUUUAUGUUUUCUUUUGAAACUAACCUUGAAAUGAAAAGACACCAAUUCAACUUUGAAUUGGUAUCAGUUGUAAGUUGAAAACCCUUCCCAGUGAACGAUCCUAGAGCCCCUAUGCUAUACUAGCUUAUGCUAUCCUAGUGCAUGGUGAUAUAGGUUAUAAAUUUUGUUGAUUACUCCCAUCAGGGGACCAAAAUCAAGGUACACCAGCUGGGAACAUACGAAUCAUAUAACAUGCUACACUAUUUACUUUACACGAUCAGACCGAGGUAGCCCCACUAGUUCAGAUACCAUAUGUUCCUCUCCCUAUUAUAGAUGAUGCAUGUAUUACUAAGCAGGAGGCUCACAUGUAGAAGUUAGAACAGAAGAUAAGACAUAUGAUAGUUAUAGAGGGCUAGCCUAUUUGGGAUGACAUGUAUCAAGUGUCAGUUGCUAACUUGCCUCAUAAGUUUAGGAUGCUUGAUAUUGAUCAUUACAUGGGAAUAGAGUGCCCUCGUAUUCAUUUGAGAUUAUACAAAAUAGUCAUGCGAGCCCAUGACCUAGAUGAAAUGUAGAUGAUUAUGCUUUUUCCCUUGUCACGGAGUGGGGUUGCGCAACGUUGGUAUGCAUCCUUAGAUAUGUUGCGUAACGUACCUGAGAGAAUUUGACACAUGAUUUUUUGAGCCAGUAUGCGUUCAAUAGUGAUGUUGACGUAUCUAGAAGAGAGUUGAAGGCUCUCAAAUAGAGGCAUGAUGAGUCAACCAUUUUUUUCACCUCUCAAUGGAAAGGAAAUGUUGCCCAGAUUAUCGAGAGGCCUAAGGAGAGUGAGCAGAUUGCCAUGGUUAUUAGGAACUUACAACCCAUAUUUGCUCAACAUUUUGUAGGCAUCAUUUUUUAGGACUUCCAACCUUUGAUCUUGGCCAUUUUUAGUGUAGAGGAGGGCAUCUCUCGAGGGUUAUGAACUGAUUCUUCCUCUUCAGAUCCAAAGGAGAAAAAACCUAUUUCAUCCAACCGAUCAGCAGAGGUAGACUCUAUCAGUUAUUAGAGACGGAUGGGUGAUUUUUCAUUUUUCCAUAGACUGUUUAGACAGUUUCAUGCUAGACCAUUGGCAAUUCGGGCUCGGUUCCCUCAUCCGCAGUAUCAGUUUCCCUAAUCUUAUGUGCAACCAUAGUUGACUCUACAUAUGCUACCUCUUUCUCGACCACAACAACCAUAUAUGGUUGCUUAUACCACAACUAGAUCGACUGUAGGAUAUGCCAGAGUUAGGUUUUUUUAGCCUUAGAGGCCUUCUACACCUAGAUUUAUGAGACUGCUCUUAGACAUAGGGAUGCCAUUAAGUCGAGUUUUUCAAAAGCUCUCUAAGGCAGGUCUUUUUGACUUUUUUUGCCUCCUAGACCAUUACUGUAGUUGAUUCCUCAUCAUUUUCGACUACAUGAGAAUUGUCUUUACCACUAGACUUCAGGGCAUCUGACAAAUCAUUACACUGCCCUUUGACAUGUUAUUCAGGACCUCAUUGAUAAGGGUUUGGUUAACCUGGAGACGCUCAAUGUUACUACAAUCCCUUUACUAGCCCACUCUACACAUGCAGUAGCACAACCUAUUAGUUCACAUUAUUUUGAUUAUGAUGAUGCUGGGGAUAGUAUUUAUAUGAUGGGUUGGGGGUCAUUUGAGCCAAAGCUUAUCAUUUGACUCUCAUUUUGGAGAAGUUGUUGAGAGGAGGGUUGCCUUGAUAGGUCAAAGACCGUAUAUUGUUUUGACCUUAGAUGAGGUGAUGUAUGAGUAGAGGUCAUGUUUUACUUUGAUUUCAAAUGUUAGGGUUCUACAUCACCCAUCGGUUUCUUUUUCUACUUCUCAUUAUAAUACGACCACCAUUUUUAUUCUAUCUUCUAGUCUUUCAAAUCUUGAUCUCUCCAAGGAGAUUUAGUAUGUGAUUUGGGGUACGAGAGUGACCUGAUAGUAGCCUCCAAUAGUGACUAGACCUUUUGAAGGAGAGACUUCUAGAGAUGAGGUGAGAGGAGGAUUAUGAGAUCAUGAGAUAGUUGUAGGCAACUCAGGCAUGCAUAUCUAUUUGGAGCUUCUUAGCCAUAUCCACUACUCANNNNNNNNNNNNNNNNNNNNNNNNNNNNNNNNNNNNNNNNNNNNNNNNNNNNNNNNNNNNNNNNNNNNNNNNNNNNNNNNNNNNNNNNNNNNNNNNNNNNNNNNNNNNNNNNNNNNNNNNNNNNNNNNNNNNNNNNNNNNNNNNNNNNNNNNNNNNNNNNNNNNNNNNNNNNNNNNNNNNNNNNNNNNNNNNNNNNNNNNNNNNNNNNNNNNNNNNNNNNNNNNNNNNNNNNNNNNNNNNNNNNNNNNNNNNNNNNNUAUGAUAAUACACGUAAAGAGGUUAUGAGGACAUUGAUGCUAGGCAUCCAGGUCGGGCUAGUUACAUUUUUUACGCUAUUCCAAGUUUUGAAGGUACCUAUGUCAUUCAACAUGUUAUUGGGUCGACAUUGGAUCCAUAAGGUUAGAGCUAUACUAUCUUCCUUUCAUUAGAAGAUGAAGUUUAUUCAUGAUGGUCGGGUUAUCAUGGUUCGAUCAUCUCAUGAUACUGCUAUUUCAUUUAAGGCUAUAUUGGAGAUUAGUCACAAUGAUGAAGACCUAUUCUUGAUUGGAUUUACCUUUGAUGAGGUCUAGACCAUCGAGAUGUUUGACAAUCCUGCAAGAGAUUAUCUUCCAUUGCCUUUUGAUGAGUUUGGUAGCAGAGUUGUGAUAAGGAUGAUGCGGAGUAUGAAUUACUUGCCCGAUUUGGGGUUAGGUAGGAGGCAGUAGGAAGUCUUUGAUUUUGUGUUUGAUGUGGAACGAGACUUACCAUUUGGUUUGGGGUUUGAGCCUACUCAUCAAGAUUAUAUCUAUGUAGCUCGCUUGCACCAAGCUUGCCUCUUAGUUUGAUUGAGGCACCUACCUUUUGAUUAUUUUGAGUGGUUGGCUAAUGUCGUUAAUAUUCCCAAAAAAGACAACAAAAUUAGAGUUUGUGUUGACUUCAAAGACCUUAAUAAAGCCAGUCCUAAGGAUGAUUUUCCCAUUCCACAUAUUAAUAUGUUGAUUGAUAGCACUACGGGUCAUUCAAUGUUGUCUUUCAUGGAUGAGUUUUCUGGGUAUAAUCAUAUUUUGAUGACUCUAGAGGACAUGGAGAAGAUUGCUUUCAUCAUUGAGUAGGGUACCUAUUGCUAUAGAGUUAUGCCAUUUAGGUUGAAGAACGCAUGACCCACUUAUUAAAGGGCAACCACUACUUUGUUUCAUGAUAUGAUGGGAUGUUAAGGUAUACGUUAAUGAUAUGAUUGUGAAAUCCCAAGAUAGAGCAUAUCACCUAGUAGCUUUAGAGAGAUUCUUUGAGAGGAUUCAAAAGUUCAUAUUGAGGUUAAACCCCAAAAAGUGCACCUUUAGAGUUAUUUCUGGAAAAUUAUUGGGACAUAUGCUCAGUGAGCAAGGUAUAAAAGUUGAUCCAAAUAAGAUUAGAGCCAUCCUUGACAUGCCUAUGCCGAAGACUGAGAGAGAGAUUAGGGGUUUUUUAGGCAAAUUAUAGUACAUCAGUUGUUUCAUAGCUAUAUUGACAAACAUAUGUGAGCCUAUCCUUCAUCUGUUGAGGAAGAACCAACCUACAGUCUGGAAUGAUAAUUGUCAAUGAGUUUUUGAGAGGAUUAAGGAGUAUAUACUUUCUUCUCUAGUUUUAGUGCCUUUUAUAUAGGAUGCCCACUGCUUUUGUACUUGUCAAUUUCAGACAUGGCCUUGGGAUACAUGUCAACUUAGCUCGAUGGCUUAGGGAAUGAGCGAGCUAUUUGUUAUUUGAGUAAAAGAAUGUCGGAGUAUGCGAUGAGAUAUGUUAUGAUUAAGCGCUUCUGUUUGGCAUUGCUUUGGGCUACUUGGAGAUUGCGGUAUUAUAUGACAGAGUAUUUUGUACAUUUGAUCUCUCACUUAGAUCCCUUAAGAUAUUUGUUUGAUAGACCCACAUUGAUAUGUAGAUUGAUGAGAUGGUUAGUGUUGUUGACUAAGUUUGACAUCUGAUAUGUUUCUCAAAAGUCUGUUGAGAGGAGUAUUGUUGUAGAUCAUUUCGUCUCACUUAUGAUAUUUGAUAGUAGAGUAGUUGAUGAUGACUUUCCAGAAGACGAGAUUUUUGUUAUGACCAGUUUUUUAGGAUGACAUAUGUAUUUCGAUGGAGUUACUAACAACUUCAGGUCUGGGAUUGGUGUAUUGUUGAUAUCUCCUCAUGGUGACCAUAUCCCAAGAUCAAUUCGUUUGACAUUUUAUGAUAGUNNNNNNNNNNNNNNNNNNNNNNNNNNNNNNNNNNNNNNNNNNNNNNNNNNNNNNNNNNNNNNNNNNNNNNNNNNNNNNNNNNNNNNNNNNNNNNNNNNNNNNNNNNNNNNNNNNNNNNNNNNNNNNNNNNNNNNNNNNNNNNNNNNNNNNNNNNNNNNNNNNNNNNNNNNNNNNNNNNNNNNNNNNNNNNNNNNNNNNNNNNNNNNNNNNNNNNNNNNNNNNNNNNNNNNNNNNNNNNNNNNNNNNNGAGGCCAUUAUGGGGUACCUCAUGAGUUUAUUUCAGAUAGGGGUACACUUUCGAGCCGAGGUUGACACUUUGUUAUAGAAGCAUGGUAUCCAACAUCAUAGAUCUCUUGCAUACAAGCUACAAACUAGUGGGGUAGUAGAGGUUGUGAAUAAAAACGUUAAGAGGAUUUUAAAGAAGAUGAUUGAGAUUUCUCGUGAUUGGCCAGAGAAGCUCUUCUUCGCUUUGUGGGCAUAUCAUACUUCUUUUCGCAUCUUUAUAGGAACCAUACCUUACUGUUUGGUAUACAGUAUGGAGGCUAUUUUUCCCAUUGAGAUUAAGAUAGGGUCACUAAGAGUAGUCUUGGAACAACAUAUUUAUGAGACUGAAUGGACUCAGGCUCAAUUUGAUCAGCUUAACCUUUUGGAUGAGAGAAGAUUGAAGGCAGUAGAUCAUGUUUAGGCUAAUUAGAGGGGGAUAGCCUAUGCAUUCAAGAAACAGUUCAAGCUUAGACAGUUUCAGAAAGGUGAUUUGGUAUUGAGGAUUCUUAGAGGAUUGAUUAGAGAUCCUCAUGGCAAGUUUAGGCCUAACUAGAGUGGACCCUACUUUAUUAGGGAGUUGACCUUAGAGGAGGCUGCAUGGCUAAUGGAUUUGGAUAGAAAUCAGUUCUCAGAACCGACCAAUGUAGAUCAAUUGAAGAAGUAUUAUGUUUGAGACCAUGGCUAGAGGCGACCUUCAUUUUGGUUAGCCUUAUACUUGAUCACCUUUAUAUUUCAUAUGAUCCUUUGCUAGCCAUUUGAGCCUCAUGAGAGUAAUGGCCUUUUGUUUCUUAUUGCCUUGACUUGGCUAUCUUUGUUGUGCCAAGUUAAGACCCCGUAGUGAGUAAGAUGUGUGGUCAUGGAUUUUAUGGGUGAUUGGAUCUAGAGUGAUGUUGUGUCACUCCUUGUUUGUAUUUUCAUUUCUUAUCUUUCACCCUACACUUUUAUAGAGUUGUCGUCAUUGAGUAUUCAUUUUCUUCUUGGUUUGUUGUUGUUUACUGUUGCUCAUUUAUUUUAAUCUUUUUCUCCUCAUUCUUUCUCUACAUUUUGUUUCAUCACCUAUGACGCUGGAUUGAUAGUUGUUCACUUAUCUUUGUGUUGAUAAGGAUCAUAUCACUCCUCAUUUCAUCUCCUUAUGGGUUUGAUCUUGAGAUUUGAGGAUUCUAUGGGCUCUUCUCUUUCUUGAGAUAGUGAUUAUAUUUGGAUGAGGGAUGUAGUUUGCUAGAUAUACAUGUAUAAUGGAGGAUUUAUGUUACUGGUCACAUAUGUUUGAUUGUAUAAAGCAUAUAAAAAAAAAAAAAAAACUCUUUUUCUUGUGCAUGAUUGUAUGUGUUGAUGGGUCCUCCCCUAAGUUCAUUUGUACUUUGGGUAAGUUUUUAGGUGAGAAGAUUUCCUUCUUAUAGGUAUAUUGGGAUUGUUCUUAUGAGGAUAUCACAUCGUGUAUAUGUUGGUGGAUUCUCNNNNNNNNNNNNNNNNNNNNNNNNNNNNNNNNNNNNNNNNNNNNNNNNNNNNNNNNNNNNNNNNNNNNNNNNNNNNNNNNNNNNNNNNNNNNNNNNNNNNNNNNNNNNNNNNNNNNNNNNNNNNNNNNNNNNNNNNNNNNNNNNNNNNNNNNNNNNNNNNNNNNNNNNNNNNNNNNNNNNNNNNNNNNNNNNNNNNNNNNNNNNNNNNNNNNNNNNNNNNNNNNNNNNNNNNNNNNNNNNNNNNNNNNNNNNNNNNNNNNNNNNNNNNNNNNNNNNNNNNNNNNNNNNNNNNNNNNNNNNNNNNNNNNNNNNNNNNNNNNNNNNNNNNNNNNNNNNNNNNNNNNNNNNNNNNNNNNNNNNNNNNNNNNNNNNNNNNNNNNNNNNNNNNNNNNNNNNNNNNNNNNNNNNNNNNNNNNNNNNNNNNNNNNNNNNNNNNNNNNNNNNNNNNNNNNNNNNNNNNNNNNNNNNNNNNNNNNNNNNNNNNNNNNNNNNNNNNNNNNNNNNNNNNNNNNNNNNNNNNNNNNNNNNNNNNNNNNNNNNNNNNNNNNNNNNNNNNNNNNNNNNNNNNNNNNNNNNNNNNNNNNNNNNNNNNNNNNNNNNNNNNNNNNNNNNNNNNNNNNNNNNNNNNNNNNNNNNNNNNNNNNNNNNNNNNNNNNNNNNNNNNNNNNNNNNNNNNNNNNNNNNNNNNNNNNNNNNNNNNNNNNNNNNNNNNNNNNNNNNNNNNNNNNNNNNNNNNNNNNNNNNNNNNNNNNNNNNNNNNNNNNGUCUAUGACACAUUGUCUUUCACUUACAAGGGGUAUGAGGAUUUAUCAUUGGGUGCUUGAGCCUAGUUUUCCUUUGUUUCUUUUACCUUUAACCUAAGCCUACGUUAUGUCCCAUGUCUUAAGACCACUUUGAGGCCAUGAGAUCUUGCAUUAUAUUCGGCAAACUUUGCUUGGAUGGUGCUUGAGAGUUAAUGGAAGUUCAGGCAUUGUCAUGAACUCAUCUAUGAGAGAUACUCUCCAUGUGUUCUCCAACUUUAAGCCUAAGUUGAUUCACCAACACAAGCUAUUGUUGGCAUACUUUCAUGAGGAUUUGGUAUGACAUUAAUGCUCCCCAUCUUUACAUUUCACACUUGACAUUUGAUUCAGCCUCAUACCAAGGCCUAACCACCUUCGAGUUGUAGCUACACCCCUUGUUGGAGUGCUAUCAUGUAAGUCAUUUCUUUUUUGUUCACGAGAGCAAGAUAGUUCAUAGACUCUUAAUAGGUUACACCAUUGAUCACCCAUAAUCUCAAAAAUGAGUUGGAGCAUCAUUGAUGUCUCUAGCAAUGUACAUGCGUAGCUCGGGUAUUCUUUGGUAGAUCAUGUUCAUCAUGUCAUUAUACCCUUGAUGGCAUAUAUGAGAUAGUUUGCUAUUAGAACAUGUGUAGAGGUUUUGUUGAUGUGGAGCUGAAGUUAUUUGUCUUAGGGCAUAUGUUAUACUGGGGCAUACCCCCUAUUAUCGUUUUGAUUGGAUUGAUGACUUUUUAGUAUGUCUCAUUGACAUGGAUAAUCAUUAUACUGGGCCAUAUUUCAUUCAUGAUACUUUCACUCUUUGUGACUUCUUGAUCUAUUUGUUAUACUGGGGCAUAUCUCAUAUCAUUCUUCUAAUUAGUUUUGCAACUCUUGAUAUGUUUCAUUGACUUGGAUGGUUACCAUACUAGGGCAUAUUCCUUUAAGGAUAUCGUUCUUUAAUGACUCGGUGAUUCAUAUAUUAUAUUGGGGCAUACAUUUAGUUCAUCAUGUCAAUUCUCUUGGCAGCUCAUAGUAUGGUAUAUUGUUGUUGAUGAUAAUUACACUGUGACAUAUCCCCUUCCAGAGUGUUUGUAUAUCCCAUUGAAAGAUCGAUUUCAUUGGAGGUCAUUAAUAGGUGCAAAAUUGUCAUGUGAGCCAUAAUUGUGGGUUAUUGAUAUGCGAUGUUGGCUUGCAUUGACAAAGAUGUGUUGGUGUUUGCAUGAUGGGGCAUAUCCCUUGGAUAAAGGAUUCUUUAUGCCUUGUACUACCUCAUUCAUUCCCCGUUCAUUUUAUGUUAAUGCAUUUGAUCCCCAGGUGGUUUGUGUGCCCAUUAACUACUUUCUAGUUGUGAUUACUCAGUUACCUCUUGCAUCUUGGCAACUGACUCUGUUAUUAUGAUAUUCGUCGUUGGCUCAUGUUUUUCUCUUAUUGCAUAAGCCUCUCAUUUGCUUCUUAGUGACAAUUCCUAUCAAUCAAUUCAGUUAUUGCUUAGGGCUUAUCAUGGUAAUGUUUUCUGUUAUCUAGCUUUGUCAUUUUAUUAUUUUACAUCUCUUUUGUUUCAUACUACACCUUGAUUGUCCGAUUUAUUUAUGUUUCCUAGAGCCAUACCCUGAUUGUUUGGCCUUCCCAAGUUUCUUAGAGUCGCAUCCUGACUAUUUGACCUUUCCUAUUUAUGUUUUCUAGAGUCUCAUUGUGGCUGUCCGACUAUUUAGGUUUCCUAGAGCCGCAACCUGAUUGUUCGGCCUCUUUGUGUUUCCUAGAGUCAUGCCUUGACUAUCUGACUAUUUAGGUUUCUUAGAGCCAUACCUUGACUGUCUGGUUUUCUCGAGUUUCUCAGAGUCACACCUUGACUAUUCGGUCUUUCUUGUUUAUGUUGCCUAGAGGUAUGCCUUGAUUGUCCGACCAUUUAGGUUUCCUAAAGUUGCACCUUGAUUGUGUUAGGAUAGAGUCCUUAAAAGCAUGACAUGAUGUAAUAAAUUUGGAAUUCAUUAUUUAUUUAACGAUGUUCCAAUUUCACUUUUAUCUAUCCUUAUUCCAUGUAUUAUACUUUAUGAGUAUUCUUGCCUACAUCUUUUGCAUUGUCCGUGACUUAUGUGUAUUAGGAGUUGCACAAAAUAUCUAAGUCAUGGGUUCCUUCCAAAUAGAUGACUUGUUCACAAUCGGUUCAUCGACUUAAGCAACCCAUUAGAAGUUGUAGUACACCACCUCCUAAUUGGAGGGAAAACUGAUCUUGGCUAUUGGGAUAGGUUUCCCAUGAUGAGUGCACUAGUGUGUAUGGUUUCACAUUGGAUAAGACCUAUGAUGAGUUAUGACUUAAUGCUAUCAAGUAGUCAUGACUCCACUAAGCUGCUUCAUUGUAUUGUCUCUCAACCUUGAGAGAAUAUUAAGCUUGUGUUGAAGUUAGCAGUGGCUUUGAUCUACGAGUGAUAUCGUAAGCUGAUCAUAUAUUCCCUAUGGAUUGGGCCACUGUUGGUGGAAGCCAGUAGCAAUAGGCAUUCUUAAUAUAGGCACCAUGAUAUCUCUUGGGAUUGAGAUAGUGUGUCCCCUUAGGUGAUCCUAAGGAGGUGUGUUCAUGGAAACUAUGAUCAUAGUAGUUCCUUAAGUGGAACUUGACAUAACCUCCUUGAGAGCUAAGAUAUGUCAAGUGAACAUAUAAAAGGAGGCUCUUUAACUUAAGGAUGGUAGAGACAAUCUUAAAAGGUUGAUAACUUUUACCUUAUUAGACUAUAAACACUAGUUCAUGGGAAGACUAAACAUGAUGGAUAGCAAGUCACAGACCCAAGCACUUGGUGUCUCAUUGUUAUUUACAUAGGAUACUGGAGUUCAGUUGAUUCUCUGUAAUGGGAUGUUGAAUCAACUUUAGAAUUGGAUUAUAAAGGAGCCAGUAUUCCUAUUGGUCCCAAUGGUUCCCACUCUGAGCUCAUAUAACUUGUUGGUAUGGGUUAUGAGGGUCAGAUUGGCUCUAGGUUCACUUUUGUGCAUAAGAGCGUUUUGGUAAUUACACAAGGUUGCAUAGGGGUAAGUGAACAAGGUCUUUGGAUUAGGCUAAUUGAUUAAUUAGAAGACCCUAUUAGGUUAAUUAAUAAAUUACAACCCAUUUUGGGCUAGAUUAAGUGACUUGAGCCCAUGUAGGCUCAAGUCACUUAAGCCUACUUAGGAACCCUAUAAAUACCCCUUAGGGGUUAGGGUUUCCAUAGCUUUUGUCUUCUACCACCUAGAGAGAAACAGAGUCAUAGCUUCCACCAUUUUUUUCUCAUCAUCGGAAGUGUGCUAAAAUCAAGGUUCAAGUCAUCAGGCAAAAAACUUCGGGUUUACGACACUUCUGCGACUUCAAUCUUCAUCUUCACCAUGUGGAUUUAUUCGAGAAUAUCCAAAUAUGAGGUAUGGUUUUUGUUAGCACUUUCUGAAUCCUUUUAAAGUAUAUAUAUAUAUAUAUAUAGAUAUAUAUAUAUAUAUAUAUAUUCUUAUUGUGCAUAGGAUUUAGAAAAAACCUAGGAUAGUGAUGCAUAUUCCUAACCUAAUCCGAACUUGGGAAACAGAAAGAUCCGACUUUUUCCCAUCAGGCUGUUUGACCUUUCCAUGUUUCCUAGAGUCACACCUUGACUGUUCGACUAUUUAGGUUUCCUAGAGCCACACUCUGAUUGUUCAAUAUUUCCGUGUUUCCUAGAGUCACGCCUUGACUGUCCGACUAUUUAGGUUUCCUAGAGUCACACCUUGACCGUCUGAACUUUCCGAGUUUCUCAGAAUCACACUUUGACUGUUCGACAUUUCCUAUUUAUGUUUCCUAAAGUUGUGCCUUGAUUUUCUGACUAUUUAGGUUUACUAGAGCCACACCUUAACUAUUCGGCCUUCUCUUGUUUCCUAGAGUCGCGCCUUGAUUAUCCGACUAUUUAGGUUUCUUAGAGUUGUACCUUGAUUGUUCGAUCUUCUCUUGCUUCUUUAGUGUCACACCCUUAUCAUCCGGUUUUUUCUUAAUUAUGUUUCCUAGAGUUGUACCUUGACUAUUCAACUUUUCCUUUAUGUUUCAUUUAGUGUUGUGCCAUGACUGUUUGACUUAUUUCAUGUAUUCCUAGAGUCGCACCCUGAUUUCCUUUUCUUUUUUCUUUCCAUUCUCUUGUUUACCCAUUCAUUCCCUCAUUUGAUGGCAUGGUUCCUAGUUUCACAUAAACAUCGUCACUGUCUCAUUUAGCAAAUCCUUCCUUGAGGUCUACGUGGAUGUUACAUGUUUCCUUACUAACAGAUCAAUGAGCACGUUUCGUAACUUUAGAGAGUUUGCACAGUAUUAAGACAAAUGUAGUGGUAUUUCUUAUUCUUUGACAAAACCCACUUCAUCUCACUUGUGAAUACACAUACUUUACUCGUGGACUCUACCGAAGAGGAGCAUACUUGUAGACCCCAAAAUUUGUCCAAAGUCUUUUUUAUUUUUAUAUUUUCAUUUUAUUUUCUUGUUAUUUUAUUUCUUUUCAUUUAUUAUUAUUAUUAUUAUUCAUUUUCUCUCCCCCAUUCACACCCACUUUCCUCAUCAUUUUUUUCUUUCCUCUUUCUCUUUCAUUUUCUCUCUUUUACUUCCUCACCAACACCAUACCCAUGACUCCCAUCCUCACCGUCGUCACUCUUCUCACCAUCGACCACUAAUUCGACCAUGCCACCCCAACCCCUUUCUAUUUCUCUCAUUCUCUUUCUCUAAACCCACCAUCACUCAACUCACCUAUCUCCAUCUCUAACACUAAUCUCCCUAUUUUCUCUCUCUCUCCUUCUUAAUCCCUUCCUAUGCUUCGACAAUGAAUUGGAGAAUUAGAGUAUCAUCCUCCAAAUGGGAUGAGGCUUCCCAUUAACACUUAGUUCGACUCUCACAAGACCAUCACCACCAUUCGUACCACAUCCAUUGCCUAGUUUUUCCUCUAGGGUUCUUCAAAACUUCGUAAGUUUUCUUCUUCUGAUUACUACAAUAAUUGUUUGUGGAUUUGGGCCUCUUUUUGGGCUUAGCUUUGGGUUUUGCAUAUAAGAUUUGGACCCUUGUUUAGUUUAGGCAUCCAUUCGAGUUAGGUUGUUGAUUUGGAUUAAGAUUAUUAGAUUAUUGAGUUUUGUUUUUGGGCCAUAAUUUGUUUAUACAUUUCAUUUAGGCUCUUUUUGUUGAAUUUUUGAAUUGAGCUAUUGGUUUAGAUUUAGGCUCAAGCCUUUGUUUACUUAUUGGGCUAUUACCAUCUUUGGUACAUGGGUUGUCACCCCCUUCUCUCUCUCUCUUUGGUUUUGUAUGGCUUGAAUGAUUGAGAUGUGACAAUUGGAGGCGAUGAGAUAGAUAGAGGCGAUAGAUUGACAGGACGACUUGAUGGGAAGAAAAAAAAAAACAACUUUGCAAGUUUUCAUGAUGAUUUUUGUUUGAGGCUUUUGGGCUAUUUAUUU
rnacentral:lncRNA from 1 species